rnacentral:lncRNA from 1 species
GGAAUGUCCCCUGGACUAGAAAGGGACCCUUGAAAAAUUGUGGAUUCCUAAUGUGUAUUUAAAUUAACUUAGGGACCAAAAAAAAUGACUUAACCAAAAAUAGAAACUACAGUUACUUAACAGAAUUAACGGCUAGGUACAACAACGCAAGCUAAGGGUACUACUCUCUUCAGCCACUAUUUUUCUGUUCUUCAGCUCGUGAUAGCUUCAUCUCCAUUAUUUCUCCUCCCUUUGAAACUUCCUUGUCCUCAAGAAAGAAUGAUGGAAAUCUGAUCUUCAUCACUUGAUAAUCUUCCCAUGCGACAUGCUCCUUGGCCAUGUUCUUCCACUGAAUCAAAAAUUGAGGGAUGGCCUUAUUUCCCCUCUUUAUCAUCCUUCUUUCUAGUAUAUUAUCAGGUUCCUCACAGUAAGGACUAGCUGGAUCAACAAUUGGGGGGUGAGUGAAGUGGCUAAGGACCUUAUAACAAAGUUUUAACUGAGAGACAUGGAAGGUUGGGUGGAUUGACACUUGAGAGGGUAGAGAAAAUUUGUAGGCCACUAACCCCACCCUUUGCAUGGUAUGGUAAGGUCUAUAAAACUUGGCUGAUAGUUUGGUGAAAGCUUGAUUAGAGAGGGUGGCUUGUCUGUACGGUUGUAUUUUGAGGUGUGCCUAUUCUCCUACUUGCAAUUGUCUAUUACUUCUUCAUUUGUUAGCUAAGGACUGCAUCCUUUGUUGUGCCCUUUGCAAAUGAUAUUGGAGCAUCUGAGAUUUGAGUUCCCUGGUUAUUAAGCUCCUAUCUAUCUCUUCAUCUAUAACUUCUCCUACGUUGUAAGGGAGAUGGAGUGGUGGUGGUUGACCGAAUAGGGCCUCAUAAGGGGUGGUCUGAAUAGCUUAAUAAAAUAGGGUGUUGUACCACCACUCUGUCAUAGGUAACUAGAGGGAUCAAUCUGAUUGACUAUCAGAACAAAAGCAACUUAAUAGGUCUCUAAGGUUCUAUUGAGCACCUCUGUUUGGCCAUCAAAUUGAGGGUGGGCAGUUGAAGUACUCAAGGUUACUCCAUGUGCUGAGAAUAACUCUUGCCAAAACCUACUAAGAAAAAUGGGGUCUCUACCACUGACUAUAUUCUCAGGCAUGCCAUGUAGUUUAAAAACUUGAUCAAGGAAAACUUGAGCUACAGUCACAGCUGUGUAGGGAUGACUGAGUGCUAUGAAGUGGAUGUUUUUGGUCAAUCUAUCUACCACUACCAGGAUGGUAGUCUUACCCUUAGACUUUGGCAACCCAUCAAUGAAGUUCAUGCUGAUGUUGGACCAAGUAGAAGUAGGGAUUGCCAAGGGCUAUAGGAAGCCAGGUGACGCUGCAGCAUCAUAUUUACUCCUUUGACAUAUGGAACAACUCCUAACAUAAUUGUUAACAUCCUCUCUUAGAUUUUUUCAAUAGAACAUGUGUGACAGCCUCCUGUAAGUAUUUUCCAGUCCAUAAUGACCACUACCAAGAGUAUUAUGCCAUGACUGCAUGAUGUCUUGCCUGAGUUGCUUAUCCUUCCCUAUCACUAACCUUCCAUAUCUCUUGAGUUGUUGGUUAUAGUAGGUGAACCCUUUCUGAUCUCCAUCCUGAUCUAUCAGUUUUUGGAGCAGUUCCUUGAGUUUUUCAUCAUCAUCCCAACUUGCCUUAAUCCUAUGGAAGAGAUUGGUUCCUACAAAGAUUACUGAUAAUAGAAAUAAGUGAGCAGCUGGCACUCUUGAGAGGGAGUCAGCAGCUUUAUUCUCCCUUCCUUUCUUGUAUUCAAUAUGAAAAUCAAACUGCAUGAGCUUUGCUAUCCACUUCAUCUUAGUAUUAGUGUGAAGUUUUUGAUCAGGUAAAAACUUGAGGGCUUUUUGAUCUGUCCUUACAACAAAUUAUCUUCCCAACAAGUAUUAUGACCAUUUGGUUACUACCAAGACUAGAGCCAAGAGCUCUUGGUCAUAAACAGAUAAAACCUGAUGCCUUGAUGAUAACCCCUUGCCCAGGUAUGCUAACGGAAUACUGCACCUUUACCAAUGUCACAUGCAUCAGUUUCUACCAUAAAUUUGAAUGUACUACUGGAAAAGCUAAGUACAGGUGCACUAGUUAAAGCUUCCUUAAGCUGAUUGAAAGCCUGUGUAGCCUUAUCACUCCAAAUGAACCCUUCUUUUUUGAGAAGUUCAGUGAGAGGCUAGCUUAUCCAACUAUACCUCCUAAUGAACCUCCUAUAAUAGCCAGCUAGACCCAAGAAUCCUCUUAGUUCCUUAACAGAUUUAGGAAUUGGCCACUUUUGCACAGCUUCAUUCUUCUUAGGGUCAGUAGUUACACCUUCUGCAGAGAUGAAAUGCCCUAAGUAUUCUACCUUGGUAGAACCAAAAGAAUAUUUUCCUUUCCUAACAAAAAGCUGAUGUUUAAUGAGCAGGUCAAACACAACUCUCAGGUGUUGCAAAUGUUCUUUCAUGUUUCUGCUGUAAACAAGAAUAUUAUCAAAGAAAAAUAGGAUGAAUUUCUUGAGGUAUUCUUUAAAAACAUAAUUCAUGAGACCUUGGAAGCUUGGAAGCUUAAGGAGGCAUUAGUGAGGCCAAAAGGAAUCACUAAGUACUUAUAGUGACCAGAAUGUGUCCUGAAAGCAGUCUUCUGCACAUCUUCUUGAGCCAUCCUUAUCUGAUGAUAGCCUGACCUCAAGUCAAGCUUAGUGUACACCUUGGAACCACCCAACUCAUCCAACAGUUCCUCAAUGAUGGGGAUAGGGAACUUAUCUUUGAUAGUGAUCUUAUUUAAGGCUCUAUAAUCCACACACAACCUCCAAGAGCCAUCCUUCUUACCUACUAGCACCACUAGUGAGGCAUAAGGGCUACAACUAGGUUGUAUUAUGCCUUGAUCCAACAUCUCUUGUAACAACUUUUCAAUUAUGUCUUCUGUCUUGAUGAAUACCUGUAGGGUCUAGUGUUUACAGGAUUGCUGCCCUUUUGUAGUAGAAUCCUAUGAUCAAAUGUGGCCCUGGAUGGAGGGAGUUGUUGAGGGUGCCCAAACAAUAUGUGAAAUUUCUUAGUCAAGGUCACAAUCUCUAGGUGGAUAUCAUCUGAUUCUUCUUCAGUGAGGGAUUCUGCUGGUAAAACCCUGAUCAUGAACAAAUGACCACUAUUGUGAGUCAUCUUGUCCAACCCAUUUGCAUCCAUUAUCUUAGUGGUUUCCCUGACUCCUUGUAACUGUACCUUUUGGUCCUGAUACAUAAAGGAUAGUGCAAGUUUCUGAAAAUUCAUCUAAAGAUCACCUAAUGACAAUAACCACUGCACUCCAAAAUCAUAUCAUAAGACCUCAAAGGAAGAAGUAGGAAGCUGUCUAUAAAAGUAGUUCCUUGCAUCAUCCAUGUGAACCCUCUACACACCUUAUUGGUUUGUCUGUUUCCUCCACCAGCAACAUUAAUAAACUGAGUACUUCCUAGGUCAACUAAGAUAUUGAGAGGUUUUUUCUCACUGUACCCUUUCACUCUUAGUGUGUGAAAACUAGGAAGUCCAUUCAAGGCAUGAAUGGAUAUUUCACAUUUCUCCCCCACUUCUUCUACCUCUAUCUCAGUCACAAUUGGUUCUUCAGGCUGUGCUUUUUCUUCUUUUACCUUACUAUCAUCCAUUUCCAACAAAUAAAGUUGCUUAGAGGUGCUGCACUUGUGCCCAGGGACAAACUUUUCAUCACAGAAGAAGCAAAGUCCCUUUUAUCUCUUCUCACUCAUCUUAGCUGGAGUAAGCCUCUUAGUAUUACUUCUAUUGAGAUCUACAGUGUUAUCCCUUUUUGGUGGUUGAUAAUCUUUCCUAUGGGUUCUACCCCUGUGACUAGUCCCAAAAGAUGACCCCUUGCUCUGACUAAUACCCCCACUAUACAUUGUAAACCUGGUCAAUUUGAGUUGAGCAUUAACUUGCAAUUUUGUAUUCCUGGAUAAUUGAUAGGCUUAAGGGAGGGAAUGGGGUCUAUGAUUCUUGACAGCUAACCCGAUCUCUGGUUUCAACCCAGUGAUAUAGGAACUAAGAGCAUACUCAGGAGGUAGAGUCAACCUAGUCAUGAUUCUAUCAAACUCCUUCUGAUACUCUUCUACUGACCCAGUUUGCUUUACUAAUUUCAACUCAGUCAUGGGGUCUGAGUACUCAGCCCCAAAUCGUUCCAUCAAGGCAUAAACAGAUUCUUCCCAUGAAGGAGGAGGAAGAUGAUCCCUACUCCUUACAUAAGCCAAAUGCCACUCAAUUACCAUAUCAUCAAAAUGGACAAAUGCUACUUUAACUUUUAAAUUAUAAUCUACAUUAUCCAAGGAAAAGAAUUGUUCUACCUUGUAAAGCAAAGUUCUCAACCGAGUACCAUUGAAUCUAGGGAACUUCAGCUUGGUCAUUCUUGACAUUGUUGGACCUCCUGCAUGAUGCUGACCUUGAAUUGGUGGACCGGUAUUUCUCUCAACUCCAGAUGUUUCUCCUGAUGUUUGCCCAACUUGGGCAGGUUGUGGAACUGGUCCCAUGGUCGCAGCAUAUUGAGGCAUAGAUCCCAACCCCAUGUGAACUCUAGCUGGAGAACAAGAGGGUAUUGGAGGCCUUCUAGUAGAAGGAGGUAACUAAGCCAUGGGAUUCCCUGAAGGGGUAUCAACCUCGUUACCUUUAUCUUGCCCUUCAAUACUCUUACCCCUAUCGAACCUUCUAGUUUCCUCUAUAGAUUUCUUCAACUCAGCCAAAGCCUUCUCAUGUUGAGCCUCUAGCUGAUUCUGUCUAACAUUAAAGUUGGCAAUCUCCAACGUUAUCCUCUCGAACAUUGACUUAAUUUCAUCCAUAUUUGUAGACAUAGCUAUCCCACAGAGCUCAAGUAAGUUCUCUGAUACCAAAUGUUGCAGAGCAAUUAACAAAAAGCAAUGGAACAGUGUUCCAGUGGAAAAUAACCAGGUAAAUUGCAAAAAUGGAGCUAAGCUAGACUAAGAACUAAUCUCAGAACUAAUUAAGGCUAAGAUAUUUUUCAUAUGUGUUAGCAAAAUGGAAAUGACUCAGUACAAUUUAUAGUAUUUCAACCUUAGCUAACUCAUCCUAAUCCUUAAGGGAUAAGGCUGAAAUUCUACUACCUCUGCAGGAAUGUUCUUUGGACUAGAAAGGGACCCUUGAACAAUUGUGGAUUCCUAAUGUGUAUUUAAAUUAACUUAGGGACCAAAAUAAAAAAGGACUUAACCAUAAAUAGAAACUAUAGUUACUUAACAGAAUUAACAACUAGGUACAACAACGCAAACUAAGGGUACUACUCUCUUCAGCCACUGUUUUCCUGUUCUUCAGCUGGUGACAACUUCAUCUGCAUCAUCACACCCUAGUUAUUUUCAAUUUCAGCGUUAGAUCUACCACUGGUGUGUUUUGGGUUAGUGUUAGAGCUUGAGUUUCUGCCUCUCCUGCUUCUACUUUUGGUAGUAGGGUACUGUUGAAUGUUUGCAUCUUCGAAUAAUCAGUGUUUAGCAUUUAGUGUUCAUAUAUGUGAUAUCAGGAACUCUACUGGUAACCCCCCCUCUUUAGAUUCUCUCGAGUUAAAUAUACUUUUCUGGCCACUAACCAUACAACGCAUUGCACCUUAGAGGAUGCAUUUACUUCCCAAAACACCUUUUUCUCCAAAGAAACUAAAAGUGCAACUGGUUAUACCCCCAACCCCAACCCCUCCACACACACACUAAGCAAAAACUAAGAAGCAGAUCGAAAUUCAAACUAAAAGUGCAACUGAUUAUAUUCAGCUGAAUUUCAUUUCAAUUAAUUUAAAACUAAUUAAGUAAUCAAUCAAUUACAAUAAAAUUUUUAACUAAUUUAUUCAGACUGCUCCACAUCGUUCCAUUCGGGUCCAAUUAGAAUCUAAUUUUUCAAAAGUUAUAGUAAAAAAAUAGCUGUGAAUAGUUAAAUCCCUGCAAAAUCUAGUAAUCAAAAUACAAAAAUACUUACAGAUCGAAAUUCAACAGAAAAGGUUUGGAGUUUUGUACCUGAUUUGGUUCCCUUUCACUCUGCUUUAGCUUCAAUCGGCUAUAAAAACGUCUGCGUACAGAUCUCAAAGACGGGAUGGCCGUCUAAGGGAGAUGAGGCCGGAGCUACACCGAAGAAGUACUUCAAUCGGGUGAAAUUGACAACGCAGUGAGACCUUAGGUUUUUUCAGAGAGAGAGAGAGAGGCACGGUUGUGACACAAAGAUAAUUGGGAAAGUUUUGAUAUAUUUAAUUUAUAUUUUAUAUAAAUUAUUUAAUAAUAAAAUAUAAGUUUCUGACUACUUCUGUCGGGUAUAGAUUUAAUAUAUUUAAUUAUUUAAUAUUUCCGACAACAAUAGUCGAUAUAUAUCGAAUAUAUUUAAUUAUACAUUUAUUUUUCCAAUUACAUCAAUCGAUUCGAUAUUUGAUACAAUUAAAUUACAUAUUUAAAUUAUAUUUAUAAAAGUUUCGACUAUAAUAGUUGAAAUAUUUUAAUUAUAUAUAAUUAUUUAAUAUUUCCAACUAUAUCAGUCAGUUAUAUAUUUAAUAUAAUUUAAUUAUAUAUUUAAAUUAAUUAAUAUAAUGUAAUUAUAUAUUUCAAUUAAUUAAUACAAUGUGAAAAACUACCGUGUAACUUAUAUUUAAUAAUUAUUUAUUUAUAGAGCAGCCUUUUUGUAAUGCAUUUAGUAAUAUAUUUAUGUAAUUAAUACAAUUUCCGACUACAAUGGUCGAAAAAUAUAAUUAAUAAGAUAUUUAAUUAAUUAUAAAUUUUCUCUAUAAGGGUAUGACUAUAUAUUUAGUCAUAUAUUUAUUUAGAUAUUAGUAUUUCUGACUAUAGUGGUUGAAAAUAUAUAUUUAAUAAUAAAUAUAAAUAUUUAUUUAAUUUUCAUAUAAGGGUCUAAUUAUAUAUUUAUUUAAUUAUUUAUAUUUCUGACUACAUCAGUCGGUUAUAUAUUUAAUAUAAUUUAAUUAUAUAUUUAAAUUAAUUAAUACAAUGUGAAAGACUACCGUGUAACUUAUAUUUUAUAUAAUUAUUUAUUUAAUAAUUAAAUAUGAUGUUUCGACCAGUAUAGUCGGGAGCAAGAUAAAUAUUUUAAAUUAUUUAAUGUUUUCGAGUAUAGUAGUCGGAUACAGUUAAUAUAUUUACAAAGAAACAUCUUUGUAAUGUGUUUCAUAAUAUAUUAUUUAAUUUUUACAAUUUCUAACUACAGUAGUCAGAAAUAUAUUUAAUAAUAUAUUAAUUUAUAAUUUUAUAUAUAGGAUUAUUUAUAUUUCCAACUACAGUCUUCAAAAAUACAUAUUUAAUAAUUUAUUAUAAUAAUUAUUUAAUUUCUGUAUAAGGAUUUGAUUAUAUAUUUACUAAUAUAUUUAUAUUUUCGAUUACAACAGUCAGAAGAUAUAUUUUUCGGAAUUUACCGCCAAAUAUUCUGACUAUUGUAGUCACAAAUAGUAUCAAAAAAAUAUUUUGUAAAAAUAAAAAAUAAAAAAGUAAAAUUUUCGACUACUUUUUUUCGGUUGGAAAUGUCUGUCGGAAAAUAGCGAAUUUCUGGUAGUGAGCCUAUGACAUAACCCUUCACGAAACCUUAUGAAAGGUAAGUGGUGAGCUCUCAAAAUUUUAUGUCACAUUGCGAACCGUUAUAAAAUGAGAAACCGUCGACGAUAUCUUUGAUACAAUAUUGACGCAAUAUUGUGAAAGAUUACGAGGAUCUGAAUUCUACGCUUAUUUAAGGAUGCUGGCGUAGAAACAUUUAUCAAAUGACAUGAAAGGAUGCAUCUUAGUAAGCAUAACAACUUAUUCUGCAGUUCAAGCACUUGAAGAUGUCACACAUAACAUGCUAAAUAUUAUCACUUGACAAAAUUUAUAUGGAAACCUUUUAAUGAUUCAAAAUGUUUAAAGCAUAUAAAAAUUUUCAGGAAACUUAUUUAGAAUUCUUAUAUUGUAUAAGCUUAUAGCUUGAAAAUUAUUGAAACUCUAGGAGAGUUUUCAAAAGCAAUAGAUUAUUUGCUGAAAUAAGAAAUAUACCAAAUUGGAUUGGUUAUGAAGUACCAUAUCUUAGUGAAAGCAGUGUACUAAUAUAUUUUACAAAUACUACAAGGCCUGAUACAACCUUUUUAGUCAAUUUGUUAGCAAGGUAUAUUUCUGCUCCUACUAGGAGACAUUAAAAUGGGAUAAAAGACAUGAGCUUAUUUUAUUCUAAAGCUUGCAGUCUCGAUCUUGUUGGCUAUGCUAAUGUUGGGUACUUAUCUGACCCGCAUAAAACUUGAUCUCAAACAAGCAAUGUGUUUAUAUGCGCGGUACUGCCAUAUCUUGGAGAUAUACAAAAUAUUCUAUCGUAGCUACUUCAUCGAAUCAUGCUGAGAUAAUAACUAUUCAUGAAGCAAGCCGAUAGUAUGUGUGGUUGAGGUCCACGAUACAUCUUAUUCGUGAAAAAUGUGAUUUGAAAUGUGAUAAAGUACCCAUAAUUUUUUAUAAGGAUAAUGCAGCAUGCACAACACAACUUAAUGGAGGACUCAAGGAGAUAGAACGAAUCACAUUUCAUCAAACCUUUUCUAUACAUCACUCAAGAGAUAAUGUGGUUGAUUUAUUCAUCAAGUCUCCUCCAAUACUUUCAAGAAGAUUGUGCACAAGAUCGGGAUACAAAGGUACAAGGAUGUUCUCAUUAGGGUGAGUUAGUAUGUAUCAUACUCCUUUUUUUACGAGAUUUUGUCCCACUGAAUUUUCUUUGUAAUGUUUUUAAUGAGGCAACCUAUAUGCCUAUUGUUAGAGAUGUGUACUCUUUUUCGUUCACUAGAUUUUUUUCACUGAUUUUUUUCUAGUAAGGUUUUAACGAGGCACAUUAUUUAUCAAUUAAACAAUCAAGGGGUUUUUUUUAUAAAUAUAUUACCAUAUAUAGUAAAUGUCUACUUUACCAUAUAUUGUGAAUGUCUAUUUAUGAAAAAGUUACAAACCCCAAGAUUAGUUUUCCCCCUAUAAAUAAAAGAGAUUUCAUUCAUUGUAAUUUACCUCAUCAAAAGAUUUCAGAAGAGAAAUAAUAAUCACUCUCUCUUCUAUCUCUAUUCUUCUUCUUUGCUUUAUAUUUCAUAACAAGUAUAACUUAGUCGAUAAUUUUUCUAUUGCAUAAAAGAUGAGAUAUUUUAUUUAUUAUUAAAUUUAUUAAAAGAAACAAAAAGGGUGAAAUUCUUAUUCAAUAUUUGAUACUCUUUAGCUAACUCAAAGUUAAAAAAUAUAAUUAAAAAUGGUAACUUUUUAAUGUGUGUAUAAUCAUUGUAAUUUAUAUUAUAAAUAUUUUAUUGUCAAUUUAAUUUUGAAGCAUUUUAAUACAUAGUAAAUUUUGUAUGAUAUUUAGUUUUUAUUUCAAACAUUAUAUUUUGUUUAUAUUUAAAAAAAAGAGUAAAUUAAUAAGAAAAUAUAGAUCAAAUUUAACAAUAAUUAUAAAUAUAGUGUAAAAAUACAUUAUAUAUUUAAUAUAAUAAUUUUAAAAUAUUAUUUUGAUCCCUAAUAAGAUGAUUUAUAUACAAAUAAAAUACAUAUAAACUAAUUUAGAUAAAAAAUGUGAAAUUUUUUACAUAUUUUAAAUUGUGUCAUAUUAAAAUACAUCAGAAAAAUUGAGAUAAACACUUACAAAUUGUUGAAACUAUUCUAUUUAAGGAAAAACAACAUCAAUGUACACCUUAACUUAACAUAUUUAUAAAAUCGCCACCCUUAUGGAGCAAUUAUAAAAAUUCACUCUAAUUAUCUAUAUUCGUUGGAUGAAUAGAAAGCAAAUUAUUUAUCUCAAAAGACAUAAAAUUAUAAUUAUAGUAAUUACAUACAAUUUUGAGAUAUUUCAUAAUAUAACUCCGUAAAUAUUUGAAUUUAUAUUAUUAUAUAUUUAAAGUGAAUUGUAAAUUUGAAAAAAUAUUGUGGUCCAAAAAUGAUAAAAAUUCUAAAGGCCCAAAUAAAUAUAUUAAAAAUACAAAAUAUAAAACAGGAAGGUAAAGUACAUUGUACUUUUAGAAAGCUCACUUUAGCUUGUUUUUAAAAGGAACACUUCGUAUUUUCCGUAUUAUUAAAUUAAAGUUUUAUUUUAAUAUUUAUGAUUGUAAGCUUGUUUGUUGAUGAAUUUUUUUUUUUUGAAAUUUGAGCAAGUGUUUUGUUGAGCAAACAUUGAUGUUUAAAGAAUUGUGAUUUAUUUAAAAUUAUGUGUAAAAAUAUUAUUUAUAUUUAUAUAUUUGACCCAACUGAUUAAGCAAGCUUAUAGAAAUUUUCUCUGUGAAAAAAAUCUUCUGUGUUAACUUUUCAAAUAAGAGGUAAAUUAUUAUCAGCUUUGCAUGAAGAAUUUAAAAUAUUAUUAAAUAUAAAAAAUGAAGAUCCUUGAAUUUUUCGUUGGGCGGGUGAAAUGAUGUCCUAAACUUGGGGUCUAUUAGAAACAACCUUUCUACUUCUUUUGAAGUCGUGGUAUGAAUUGCAUACAGUUUAUUUUCAGAUUCAAUAUGUGAAAAUACAUUGGAUAUGUUGAGUAUUUGUUGAUACGGAUAUAUCGAUAUUGAGAACUUUUAUUGUAUUUCUGCUUAUAAAAAAAUAAAAAUCCAUAAGCCUCUUUUAACUUCUCUUAAGUGUUAAUUUUUAAUAUUUUUAUUAAAAAAAUAUUAUUUUAUUACAUGUCUUAAUAUUUCAAAGUAUUUGAGGUUAUUAUGAAUUUCUUAAAUUUUGAAUAAUAGAAUAAUUGACUAUUGAUUUGUGAGUGUGAGUUAAUAUUUUUAAAAUUUGAAACUUAAAAAAAUUAAUUGGCUAAACAAUAAUAUUCUCAUCAAUUUUUUUUUUUAAAUAGAAUUUGACAUGAUUUUUCUAUUCUUGCAAAUUUUAAUAGUUAUUCUUAAGUUAUUGAUCUAAGAAGAAUUGAGUAGUUUCAUAAAAAUAUUGAUGGAAUGUAUCUGCAAGAAUGACUUAUAAGAUGUCCUUUUUACUUUCAUAAGUAGUCAUUUUUAGAGUGUCCAUCAAGAAAUUAAUAUAUUUAGGUUAUAUGAUUUUUUUUUAUAGUUACGUGAUUAUGAAAGAUUAAAUAAUUAUGUGAGCAUGUUCAAGAUCUUCAAGUCAGUAGUAUUUCACAUUCAAUUGUUUGAGUUGGUUGCAAAUUUUAAUUGAAUAAGCAAACAUCAUUAUGUUUUCUGCAUGAUUCCUUCACCAUUUGUAUUGAAGUAUGCAAUGAAGAUUUUAAAUGUUGAUAUUGUAUUCAUCAUAUUAUAUUAUGACUUUUGAGUUUAUCAUAUACUUAGGUCUUUGUAUUUUUCUGCUUUAAAGAGAAAUAUACUCAUUGUUCAUUGAUUUAUCUGUUAUCAUUAGCAUAAUAAAUUACAAGUGCUAAUAUUUUUUAAAGUAUACAUCUAUAUUCAGUUGGGUGAUAUAGAAAUCAUAUUGAGGAUCUUAGUUAAUGCAUAAAUGUCAUGAUUGUUGAAUCUUAAAUCGUAGCAAAAUCAGAAUUAAUGAUUGUAUCUAUUUGACUAUUCUAUUGAAUACUUUACUCUUUAUAGUUUUUAGGAUCAAAAUUAGGCACCUCUAAACUGUCAAACGCUAUUGUCAGGAAAACUGAAGCAUUUAACUGUAACAAAAAAAUUUAUCAAGGUAAUUUUUAUUUUUUGUACUUUGAUAUCUAUGUUAUUGCUCAUCUCCUCCUAAUCCUUGCAUGUGAAUAUAACUAGAACUGACUAUUAAUUAUGAAUAUUUUUACACAUGAUAAUUUUUUUUUCUUGAUUGAUUCUAAUGUCCUGAGUAUAUUUACUUUUUUAGAUAAAGCAUAAAUAUAAAAUAGUACCUAAUUCAACACCAUCUGACAGUAGAAGAAAUCUGUCCAUUACACUUCUCGGUAGCAGAUAGAGGAUUUUCUCCAAGAUGUUCGUGAUGAUUUGAUCAUGCUUACAUCUCAGAUACAUUUAAAUUUGGCUAGAAUAAAGCGCAUGACAUCUGUUUGGCAUCUUAAGAGACUGUAGCUGUUGCUAUCCUAGUAGUUGCUGAAACAGAAGCAAAUAUAGUUGAGACAUAGGAAGCGAAUAGGGAGAUUGAUGUUACUCAAGCUUUUUUAGUAGAUGCAAAGAAGCCACUAUAUAAGAGCAGUUCCCCAAGGAUGGUAAGGCAUCCUUUUAUUUUAAUUAUUUGAUUAUUGUGUAUUAUUUUACUUGUCGCUCUUAUCUAUCAUUUAUUUUAUUGUUUGUAGCAUAUGUCCUUUCUUAUAUCUAUAUCAUUAUUGAUUUAAUGUCUACACUUGACAUAAAUUUUUUUGCCACCAUUUGGCAUAUGAAAUAUAUUUUAGUGAAUUGCGAAGAUGUAACGCCCCGAGUCUGUACCUCGGACGCCACACGGUGCUUACGACCCCAAAGGACCAUAAGCUAAAUCAUGACUAAUAUCUGUUGUGAGCACUGAGUAACAAUACUGUAAUAAAUGCGAAAAAAAUAGGCUAAAAUGCCAUAAGGUUCAAAACCUGAAAUACUGAUAAAGAAUACCAACUGUAAUAAUGAUUUGUACAACUGAAUACAAUCUGAAAGUCUAGUUUGAAAGCCUCUAUCUGUCUGAAUAUGGAUUUGAUGGGACAAGUCCCCAACUAACUCCGACUACUGAAAUAAACUGAAUAAUGAAAUGAUAUGAUAACUUUGUCCUCGAACUAUGAGGACUCACCACUAGGUCUGCUACAGAUAGUCUGGGCUACUAAUUUUUGUCAGGAGCCUGUGCAUCUGAACCUAUGAUAUAAAACAUCAUAGAGCAAAAGAAAAGGUAUACGUCAGUACUUUAAAUGUAUUGGUAUGCUAAGCCAGGUAAGCUGAUAUGCAAGGGUUUAUAUGCAUGAACAAUAAUUGACUGAAUAACAUGAAUACAACUGAAUGAGAGUACAUGUAUAACUGAAACUAAUGAAACACUGUUUAUGCAAUACUGUGUAUAUAUCUACAUAUACUGUGUCUGAGAUCAUAGUAACACUGGAUACUAAGUUCUGAUAACUGAAUGACUGAUAUCUGAGUUUACUAAUAACUGUAUUACUGAUAGAUGGGUGACUAUUUCUAACAGUCCUGAUUUUGUAGAAUUGAACUGAGUUCUAUAUUGAGCUGGGUGACUGUGUCUGACAAGCCUGAUUCUUUAGAAAUGAACUGAGUUCAAUACUGAGACUGAAAUUGAAACUGUAGAAGGUAAAUCAUUUAACCGACAUGCCUCUCUCUGAACUUAUUGGGGUCCAACCUGUAACCCCAGUUGAAAGGGUGUCAGUACCGUGCCACGGGUAAAGACAAGUGCUGAGUCAACCUCAUUUAGCAGGUACUCUAAAUGAGAACGGUGGUACCCUCAACUGGCAGGAAAAACACCUCAUCAAUCCUCAACUGGCAGGUUGAUGUCUCAACCUACGCUGGCUACGUAGUUAUGGAAUGCCAGGACUGCUUCUAAGUAUCAUACCCUUUACUGGUAGGUGAGUCCCUAUCCUUGGAUUCACUCGGUGCUGAAUCCUACUCCCAACUGAAUAGACACAGAAAUAAUUUCUAAACUAUUCUAGGCUAGACUAAACUAUUACUGAUCGUGUUAACUGACUGAACUGGACUGAGUUCACUGAUUACUAUAACCGAUUAAGUGUUCUGAGUUUUAUUUGCUGACUGGAUAUACUGAGUUCUGUAUUGACUGAAUGUCACUGUACGUGACAUUACUGAGACUAUUCUGAAGCUACUGUAAUUUUAGGUAAACAGCUAGAUUGUCGGGUAUUAGAUACCCCUAGGACUCGAUAACAUGAAAAGUAAAGCAUAGCAUGAUCUUGAAAAGCAUUACAAUGUUCAUAACUCAUUCAUAGAGAUAUUUUACUAAACACUUGUAAGAUAUAAGUUUGUACAUAUGCUAGCAUGUCAUGAUUUCCCCAUUUAAUCCACAUGAGCAAUUUAUCAAACACUUGGGGAACAUAAUCUAUGCACAUAAUACUAAUCAACAUGUAGGUAUCAUAAUUUUCAAUCCCAAUUUACUUCAAGGGCUUUAACAUGAAUUCAUAUAAUACUACACACAUGUCCAAUAAAUUUACAUGAAUCUUGUAAUAAAUCAUGAAUUAGAAACCCAAUUAACAUCAUAAUGAUGAAUACAUUCAAGCCCAACAUAGAAUUCAUGAAUUCAAUAAACUUACAUUUUUAAAAGAGGUUCUUGAACUCCAAGGGUGGAAGGAAACCCUUGGAUGAACACCUAACAUACCUUGGUUAUUAAUUCUCUAAAAGUUGUGGAGAAUUUCUUGAAUCUUAAAUCUUGAAUUGGAAGCCCUAGGGUUUUAUUUCUUGAGUAAUUUUGAGAAUAAUAAGUGUUUUAUCCCUAAGAAUGACUUAAUCUCAUAUUUUUGGGGAUGAAUAUGAGUGGAAAAUGACCCAAUUACCCCUCUGGAUACGGGUUUUUAAUAACUAAAAACGUGUCCAGUGACGCACAGACCGGCGCGCUGUGUCGAUAAAAUCAAUGCGAUGACCAAUGCGCCGCAUCGAGUUCGCAUUGGUUCACUGGAAUUACACUAAAAGCUGGGGGAAAAUUAUCUGUCAACACGAAGGGCGACGUGAUGCAUCGAGAUCGCGUCGACCCACUAUUUUGGUCACCCAAACAUGGUUUAAGCAAGGUCCAAAAAAUCCAAAACUCACCCGAGGUGACCUACUAACAUUCCUAAUCACGAAUCAACCAAAAAUAUUAAUAUUUUAAGGUCAUAAGGGUUGUAGAAUAGGAUCACAAACUUAUGAAGGCUAAAAUACUUCUAAGUAUAAACACUUGGCUGAAAUUUAUAAGUCUGAGACCUCUUUUCAAGCUUUAACGGACUGAGUUAAGCUUAGAAUUUUAUGGGGUCUUACAAUAUCUCCCCCUUGGGAACAUUUGUCCUCGAAUGAGACUGACUAAGCUGAGAAACACUGAUAGACUGAGCUUACACACUGAACAUGCAUAUCCGAUGCAUGGAAUACCUGACUGAAACUCCUGAUAAACUGAGUUUACAAAAUGAACAUACAUAUCUGAUGCAUGAGUACAUGGUUGAACUAAUUUAUGAAUGCAUGACUAUCAUGAAGAUGAUAUGCAACGGUAAUGAAUACUAAAUUGUAACUGUAACUAAACAUGGAGCUGAGAAAAUCUAAGAAAGAUUGUUACCUUGAGCUGAGUCUGAGUUUGCGUAGAAGAGAUAAGGAUACUUGGUCCGCAUAUAUACUUUUGAUUUCCAAGUAGCUCCUUCAAUGGACUGAUUUUUCCAAAGAACUUUGACUAGUGGAACUUCUUUGUUUCUCAGUCUGCGAACCUGAUGAUCAAGAAUUUUGACUGGCAUCUCUUCAUAAGAGAGGCUAUUCUAAACAUCUAUACCCUCUAUAGGGACUACAACUGCUGGGUCACCUCUGCACUUCUUUAGUAAGGAGACAUGAAACACUGGAUGUACUGAAGCUAAGUUUGAAGGCAACUUAAGCUCGUAAGCUACCUUUUCAAAAUGGCUGAGAAUUUGGUAAGGACCGACAUAUCGGGGACUGAGUUUUCCUUUCUUGCCUAACCUCUUCACUCCCUUUAUAGGAGAUAUUUUUAAAUACACAUAAUCACCAAUCUCAAACUCAAGAUCCUUCCUUCGUACAUUUGCAUACGACUUAUGUCGGCUCUGAGCUGUCUUAAACCUUUCCCUGGUCAAUUGAACCUUUUCUAAGGUAUUAAAUAUUAUGUCAGGCCCUACCACUGCAGCCUCACCCACUUCAAACUAACCAAUGAGAGAUCUAUAUCUCCUCCCGUAAAGUGCCUCGAACAGAGCCAUCUGAAUGCUGGAAUGAUAACUGUUAUUAUAUGCGAACUCAAUCAAGGGACAAUGGUCAUCCCAACUCCCCUUAAAGUCAAUGGUACACUCUCUUAACAUAUCUUCUAAAGUUUGAAUGGUCCUCUCUACUUGACCAUCUGUCUGAGGGUGGAAGGCUGUACUGAGGUGAACUUGGGUACUAAGACCCUUUUGGAAGGCUUUCCAAAAGUGAGAGGUGAAAUGCAUACCUCUAUCUGAGAUGAUAGACAACGAAACUCCGUGCAAUCUGACCAAAUCUCUAACAUAGAACUUGGCAUAAUCCUCGGCUGAAUAAGAGGUAUGAACUGGUAAGAAAUGAGCUGAUUUCGUCAUCUUGUCAACAAUGACCUAAAUUGAAUCAUGCUGAUGAUGAGUACAGGGUAAACCCAUCAAAAUAUCCAUGUUCACUUUCUCCCACUUCCACGCAGGAAGGAAUACUGAACUCUUGCAUGGAACCACUAGGUUUUUGGUUCUUAAUCUUAACCUGCUGAUAUGUAAACACUUAGCAACAAACUCUGCAAUAUCUUUCUUUAUCCCAUUCUACUAAGAGACUUCCCACAAAUUGAGGUACAUCUUAGUAUCCCCUGGAUAAAUAGAGUAACGUGCACCAUCUGCUUUUACAAAAAUUCAUUGCCUCAAGUCAUCUAUACCUGGCACGCAUAACCAACUCUGGCAACACAAUACAUUAUGUCCCCCUAGGAAGAAAACCUCUACUUUUUGAUCUCUGACUGACUCUUUCAACUUGACUAAACUGGGAUCUCUGUCCUGCUUUUCCUUCACUUCAGAAACCAGAGAUGAUUCUGAACUAUUUUGUAUCCACACACUUCCCUCUGCUAAGCGGACACCUAGUCGGGUAAGCUGAUGAACUUUCUGAACUAACUUCUUCUUAUUAUCCUCCAUGUGAGAAACACUACCUAUAGAUAUCCUACUGAGAGCAUCAACCACUAUAUUAGCCUUGCUCUGGUGAUACAGGAUACUCAUGUCGUAGUUCUUCAACAACUCUAACCACCUCCUCUAACGUAGGUUCAGAUCUUUAUGAUAAAACACAUACUGCAGGAUUUUGUGGUAUGUGAACACAUCAAAAUGUACUCCAUACAAAUAAUACCUCCAAAUCUUUUAGGUAAACACCACAGCUGCUAACUCAAGAUCAUGAGUGAGGUAAUUCUUUUCAUGAGGCUUAAGCUAUCUAAAGGCAUAGGCUAUGACCUUACCUCUCUUCAUCAAAACACACCCCAAACCAACUCUGGAAGCAUCACAAUAUACCACAAACCUAUCUGAACCAUCUGGUAAAGUCAAAACUGGGGCUAUAGUGAGUUGAGUCCUUAACUAUUGAAAACUCUUCUCAUAAGAAUCUGACCACUAGAAUUUGACUUUUUUCUGAGUCAAUCUAGAUAUAGGGGAUGCAAUAGAUGAGAAUCCAUCGACAAACCAUUGAUAAUAGCUAGCCAAACCCAAGAAACUCUUAAUAUCUGAUAGAGAAAUGGGUCUGGCUAGUUUCUAAUUGUUUCAGUUUUUUGAAAAUCCAUACUAAUGCCAUCACCGUAAACUAUGUGGCCAAGAAAAGCUACUGACCUUAGCCACAAUUCACACUUACUGAAUUUGGCAAACAACUGAUGGGCUCUGAGGGUCUGCAACACUAUUCUGAGAUGGUCUGCAUGUUCAAGUUCACUACGAAAGUAGGCAAGAAUGUCAUCAAUAAAUACUAAGAUGAACAUGUCCAAGUACUGCUUGAACACACAGUUCAUCAAGUCCAUGAAGGCUGUUGGAACAUUGGUAAGACCAAAUGACAUGACUAAGAAUUUAAAGUGGCCAUAUUGAGUUCUGAAAGCUAUUUUAGAAAUGUCACAUUCUCUGACCCUGAGCUGAUGAUAUCCUGAUCUAAGGUCUAUCUUAGAGAAGUAACAAGCACCCUGAGGUUGGUCAAAUAAGUUAUCAAUUUUGGGAAGUGGAUACUUGUUCUUGACCAUGAAUUUAUUUAGCUGACGGUAGUCUAUACACAUCCUAAGAGAAUUAUCUUUCUUACGGACGAAUAGAACUGGUGCACCCUAAGGGGAUACACUGGGUCAGAUGAAUCCCUUAUCUAGGAGAUCCUUUAACUGUUAUUUUAAUUCUUUAAGUUUUGCUAGAGCUAUUCUGUAUGGCGGAAUAGAGAUAGGCUGAGUAUCUGGAAGAAGGUCUAUUCCGAAGUCAAUUUUACUUGUGGAAGGGACCUCGAGAAGAUCUUCGAGAAACACAUCAGGAAAUUCACAUGCUACUGAUACUGACUCAAGAUUAGGGGUCUCUGAACUAGAGUCUUGAACUCGAAAGAGAUGAUACACACAUCCCUUAAAUAUCAUUCUUCUCAACCUAAGGUAAGAAAUAAGCUAACCCCUAAGUACUGAAGUACUACCCCUCUAUUCAAGGACAAGUUCAUUCGGAAACUAAAAAUGGACAAUUUGGUUUCUGUAGUCAACUGAAUCAUAGCAUAAAAGAAGCCAAUCUAUGCCAAGAAUGACAAUAAAAUCUGUCAUCUCUAAUUCUACUAAGUCUGCUGAAGUGAAUUUUCUGAGAUACCAUAACGGGACAGUUCCUAUAUACCCAUUGGGCUAUGAUAGAUUUUCCCUCUGGGGUAGAGACUGAGAAGAGCUCUACUAGGAUUUCGGGACCGACUCCAAAGUCAACAGCUAUAUAAGGAGUUACAAAGGACAAAUAAGCUCCUGGAUCUAGCAAAGCAUAAAUGUGUAAACAAUAAACUUGUAAUGUACCAGUGACCAUAUUAGGAGAACUUUCCUAAUCCUAUUGGGACUAAAGUGCAUAAGUCUAUUUGGGCACUGCCCACUGGUGGUACUGGAAGGGGCAACCUACUGAUUUGGGUGAUCGGACUGAGCUGAAGGACAAUUAUAUUGACCCUGAGAACGUGACUGAGGAUAAUCUCUGAUCCUAUGGCUUGGCUUGCCAUAUCCAAAACAUACAUCAUUUCCAGCCCUGCAGAUACCCUGGUGGUUUUUGCCAUAUUUUUGGUAAAGAGGGUUUGUUCAGGAACUGCUAACACUACCCUGAGGUUUAGGGCUUGGUGCCCUAUCUCUAUUGCCAUCUAUGAAUUUCGGCACUGGAGCACUGUCUGAGGACGGAGCUAUAACUGGGGAUUUGGGUGGAACUAAGAACGAUUUCCUCUUUUUGACUUAGGCUGAGUGAAGUUGAAGAUACCUAUUCUAACUCUCUUGUUCUCUCUCUCCUUAUCCCUCUCCUUAGCCUCCUCCAUCUACUGAGAAUAGACCAUGAGCUUGGAUAUGUCCAUCUCCUUAAUCAAUAUUAUAGUCCUACACUCAUUGACCACACUGUUAGACAUGCCAGACAUAAACUUACUCAUCUUAGACUUGCUAUCUGCUACCAUAUGAGGAGUGUAUCUAGCUAUCUGAGUAAACUUGAGAGAAUACUAUUUCACUGUCAUAUUUCCCUACUUAAGAUUAAUAAAUUCCAAAACCUUUGCUUUUCUUAACUUCAGUGGAAAGAACCUAUCCAGAAAAACAGUGGUAAACUCAUCCCAUUCUAUAGGCCCUGCAUCUACGGCCCUCUCUGUCUUUCACUACUUGAACCAUGAGUGAUCCAUAUCCUAUAACUGAUAUGUAGCCAACUUAGCUCUAUUUCUAGCUGUCACCCCCAUAAUAUCUAUAACUUUCUGCACCUGAUUAAGAAAUUCCUAUGGUUCCUCAUCUGACUUAGACCCAAUAAAGGCUGGAGGGUUCAUUCACGUGAAGUCCCAAAUUCUAGCUGUAGAAGUGUUAGCCACUAGAUUGGCCAGAAAUGAAGCUGGACGUUCAUUCUGGGCUUCCACAGAAUGAGCUAGAGUGGAGAAAGCUGCUCUGAAUUCCGUAUGAGAGACAUGCUCAUCUAGGGAAUCUGCCUAAACGGGCAAAAGUGCUGGAUGAUUUUCUGUUCUCCUACCAUUGUUCUUUUUGUGAGGCAUGUUCUGUAAACAGAAGUAAGAAAAGGAUUUGACUGAGAGUGUAACUUUAUAUCAUGCUCACUCACACGAUAUGAAUACUGAAAGAAGGGAAACUUUUUCUAAAAAUACCUCAUAGCCUCUUGUCCAUAAGUGUGGUGCGCUACACACCCAUGCACAAGACUCUACUAGAUGCAAAUUUUAGACUUCCUAGGACUCUGUUGAACCUUAGGCUCUAAUACCAAGUUUGUACCACCUUGAGUCUGCACCCCGGAUGCCGCACGGUACUUAUGACCCCGAAAGACCACAAGCUAACCCAUGACUGAUAUCUACUAUGAACACUAAGUAACAAUAUGUAAUAAAUACGAAAAAAUAGGCUAAAAUUCCAUAAGGUUCAAAACCUAAAAUACUGAUAAAGAAUGCCAACUAUAAUAAUAAUUUGUACAACUAAAUACUGUCUAAAAGUCUAGUCUGAAAGCCUCUAUUUGUCUGAAUAUAAAGUUGAUGGGACAAGGUCCCAACUAACUCUGACUACUGAAAUAAAAUGCAUACUGAAAUAAUGAAAAUGAUAUGAUAACUUUGUGCUCGAACUAUGAGGACUCACCACUAGGUCUGCUGCUGAUAGUUUGGGCUGUUAAGUUUGGUCAGGAGCCCGUGCGUCUGAACCCAUGAUAUAAAAUAUCAUAGCGUAAAAGAAAAGGUAUGCGUCAGUACUUUGAAUGUACUGGUAUGCUAAGUGAGGUACGCUGAUAUACAAGGGUUCAUAUGCAUGAAUAAUAAUUGACCGAAUAACAUGAAUACAACUGAAUGAGAGUACAUGUAUAACUGAAACUGAUGAAACACUAUUUAUGCAAUACUAUGCACAUAUCUACAUACAUUGUGUCUGAAAUUUUAGUAACACUGGAUACUGAGUUAUGAUAAUUGAAUGACUGAUAUCUGAGUUUACUGAUAACUAUAAUACUGAUAACUGGGUGACUGUUUCUGACAGUCCUGAUUCUGUAGAACUAAACUAAGUUCUAUACUGAUCUGGGUGACUAUGUCUGACAGUCCUAAUUUUGUAGAACUGAUUCUGACACUCUUCUAACAGACAUGCCCCUCUUUAAACUGAUUUGGGUCCGACCUAUAACCUCAGCUGGAAGGGUAUUAGUACCGUGUCAUGGGUAAAGACAAGUGUUAAGUCACCCUUAUCUGGCAGGUUCUCUGAACAAGAAUGGUGGUACCCUCAACUGGCAGGUAGAACACCUUACCAACCCUCAACUGGCAGGUUGAUGUUUCAACUUAUGCUCGCUACAUAGUUAUGGAAUGCCAGGAUUAUUUCUAAGGAUCACACCCUUUACUAGCAGGUGAGUCCCCAUCCUUGGGUUCACUCGAUGCUGAAUCCUACUCCCAACUGAAUAGAAACUAAACUAAUUUCUAAACUGUUCUAGGCUAGACUGAACUAUUACUGAUCGUGUUAACUGGCUAAACUGGACUGAGUUCACUGAGUACUGUAAUAGAUUGAGUGUUCUGAGUUCUAUUUGCUGACUGGAUAUACUGAGUUCUGUACUUACUAAAUGCUAUUAUACGUGAUAUAACUGACACUAUUUUGAAGCUACUGUAAGUUUAGGUAAACAGCUAGAUUGUUGGGUAUUAGAUACACCUAGGACUCGAUAACAUGAAAAGUAAAGCAUAAUAUGAUCUUGAAAAGCAUUACAAUGUUCAUAACUCAUUUAUAGAGAUAUUUUAUGAAACACUUCCAAGAUAUAAGCUUGUACAUAUGCUAACAUGUCAUGAUUUCCCCAUUUAAUCCACAUGAACAAUUUAUCAAACACUUGGGGAACAUAAUCUAUGCACAUAAUACUAAUCAACAUGUAGGCAUUAUGAUUUCCAAUCCCAACUUACUUCAAGGGAUUUAACAUGAAUUCACAUAAUACUACACAUAUGUCCAGUAAAUUUCCAUGGAUCUUGUAAUAAAUCAUGAAUUAGAAACCCAAUUAACAUCAUAAUCAUGAAUACAUUCAAGCCCAACAUGGAAUUCAUAAAUUCAAUAAACUUGAAGUUUUAAAAGAGGUUCUUGAACUCCAAGGGUGGAAAGAAACCCUUGGAUGAACACCUAGUAUACCUUGGUUGUUAAUUCUCUGUAAGUUGUGAAGAAUUUUUUAAAGCUUGAAUCUUGAAUUGGAAGCCCUAGAGUUUUGUUUCUUGAGUAAUUUUGAGAAUAAUAGGAUCGCCAACUUAUGAAGGCUAAAAUACUUCUAAGUAUAAAUACUUAGUUAAAAUUUUUAAGUCUAGGACCUGUUUUCAAGCUUUAACGGACUAAGUUUAGCUUAGAAUUUUGCGGGGUCUUAUAGAAGAUUAUUAAAAAAGAAAGAAAAAAUCUAAUACUACUCAACAAAGAAGCAAAAAAAGAAAGAAUAAAAUAUGAUUUAUAUUUUAUAUUCGUAGUUUUAAGUAGUUUUUUAUUUUCUAAGUUAUUUGAUAAAUUUGAAUUGUACGUGCAGAAUUUUAUGAUUUUAUUUUUAUGUAUGUAAUCAAUAAGUCAAGUAGAUCAUUAUUUCAAUAUGUGAUAAUACAUAUCAAUAAUUUUUUUAAUUUUCUCACUAUUUUUCAUCUCUCAUUUUGAUUCUGAUCAUGUUCCAUUUGUAGAUAGAUGUUCAGAUGUUAAAAAUAUUAUUAAAGAUAAAAGAGCUUAAUUGCUCUUUCAUUAUAUGAAAACAUUUCAUCAAUGAAGGUAAAUGUUCUACGUCAGUAAUUUAUUUAUAUGCUUUAUAGAAAGCUUAUGUAUUCAUCAGUGAAAGAAUUUAUUUAUUUCUAAAUUAAAAAAUUCAUUUAGCCGAUGAACUUUAGUAUCUAUUUUCAAAUAUAUGAUUUAUGUUAAUUGCCCAAAUAGGUUAGAUUAUUCUUUAUAUUUUUUUGAAUGUUUUUAAUCUCUCUAAAAUUAUCUUAUCUAUAUUUUAUUUUAAUUUUCUCUAUGUAACUAAAUAUAUUAUUUUGAUAUAUUGUCUUUGUGUUUGUACGUUCAUUGAUAAGUUUGUUGUUGUAACACCCCGCAUUUUGAGCUAGAAAGCGAACCGUCAUUCCUACGUGCAUACGCUCUAAUUUCAUGGUUUAUAUUUAAAUCCAUGUGUCAUGAUCCUUCUCCUAGUGUAUUAAGUAAUUAUGAGGUGAAAAGUGUUCAUAAAAAUCACUUGGAACAAAGUUGAGCUAAGAGUCUUUCAUUCAUCCAAAGUUUGAUAUUCGAUUCUACAAGGAUCUAGUUUGAACGUGUAUAACUUUCGAUACACAUGGAAUUUUGCAGCUCAAGUCUCGUAUAUAAUUGAAUUAGCUUUCCAACGAUACCAAUUUUUUCAAAAUCUGAUAACUAAAGAAAAAGUUAUGGUAUUUUCUAUGUGAGGCAGUAAGCUGAUGCGAUCUUGACGCGUUACGUCGACUGCACCCCAACACGAAACCUGACGUGAAUCUAAAGUGGUUUUAUGGGUUAUUUUAAUUCCUAAAGGGUCUAGGGUCAGUUUAGUCAUAUUCCCUCACCCAAAUUCCAUCCCUAAUCAUCCUUAAAUGACAUUAAGCCUAUUAGUAACGUUUUACUCUCUCUUAAGAUCCCUAAUUCAUCUUUCAAGAACACAAGAGGAGAAAACAACAAGGGUUUUGGCAAUCAAGCUUAAAGGUCCAAUUUUUUUUCAAAAUUUCUUCAUAAUCCUUCACAAUUAAGGUACAUAGGAUUUUCCUAAACUACAUGGGCAUGGGGAAAACACUUUUAAUGGUGUUUUGAAUGUUGAGAAAUCAUGAAUUUGCAAUGGGUUUUGAAUUAAAAAUACAACUGUACAUUGUGAAUCCUUUUGAUCUAUUGUUUUGAUCUUGAGGCCUUCCCUUAAAGAAAAUUAAUUUCAUUUAUGUAUAUACGUAUGUAUGCAUCUAUAGUUGAUAAUUUAAUUUAGAGCAUGACUAAUUACAAUCCCUCUCAUGUUGCAACACCUUUAGAUUUUUGCAUGUUACGAAUUGAAGAAUGUUAUAUUUAGAAGCAUGGUAUCAAUGUUCUUAACUAUUGCUGAAUGAUUUGAGAUUGAUUUUAAAUUGAUGAGUGGGGGGUUUACAUGUUGAAAAAUGUUGAAGAUAUAUAAUGAAAGAAUUGCAUGGUUUGUCAAAAAUACAUGACCACUACAUGUUUGUUGAAAUGUUGAAAAUAGAGGUUCUUUGAAUAAUUUGACAUAUGUUUUGAAGUAUGAGUCUUCUUGAAUGGUUUGGAGUAUGGUGGUCUGAACUUUAUGUUUUGAAAGAAGAGAUUAUAAUACAAUAUUUUAUGGAUUUGAGAUUCGACUUGCAAGUCAAUGGUAUGACGAUACCAUAUAAUUGAAUGCCAUAACAGAGUAAGAGUUUUAGACUUGAUUUUAGAGAAUACAUGUCUUCAAGAGCUAAAAAUGGGCUUAAAGAGGGUUAGGUGGUGUUUCAAAGAAGGCUUGAGUUUAAAUAACUCUAGCCCAAAAUCGUGUUUUGUCGAUACUGGUUCACUAUGUCCCCAAGAGGGACCAUAGGCCGGCUUAGAACCCUAUGACAUAUUAAAGACAGAGACUCCAACCCUUGCAGAAAACUCGGGUUGGGGGCUUGGCUGCCGAGUUAAGGGCAAAUUCUAUAUAGCCCGUGGGAUUUCAGAAUUGUAGGGUAUUCCACCUAGCUCAGAAGUAAGAUAAAGAGUGAGUCAUGGAUUUCAGAUUAUUGUUCAGAGUCUUUUAAAUAUGCCCAUAUGUUUUUCAUAUAUCUUAUAUAAAACUAUUUAUAAAUUGCUCUCACUUAUGCUAUAUAAAAAUACAUUAUUUUGGAUUGCUAUGCGUACCGGUACAUCUAUAUUGACCCCCUGUAUUCUUAGCUUCUGAGACAUAGUCCUGGGGCCCCAUUAAGCAGUAGAUUGAUUUGUCAGAAGUUUGCAACUGGUGAACCUCCCUUACUUCAAAAGGCUUUGUUAUGAAACUUGUUACUGUUAUUUUAUUUUGAUUCAUAGUCCAACUGGGGGCCUUGUCCCAAAUUUCAGACAGAUGUCAUUUUCAUUUAGUAGAGAUUUCACAGACUAGUGUUAGAUGUUGUUAAUAUUUAUGAACUCAUUUUAGUAUUGAGUAGUUUGAAAUAAGAGUUGACCAUGAUUCCAUUUUGUUAUAUAAAAGCUAGUGACCUAUUUCUGUGUUGUGUUGUUUUUUAUGCUAAUUUUCUACAUUAUAUGAAUAUUGUGCAUGAUUAUCGAUUAGAGAAGGGGCGUUUGAGCCUUCAUUAUUUAGGAUUCUUGUUACGGAAAGGGACUCAGCUUGGGUCAUAAAAACAUGGUAUCAGAGCACGGUUCAUGGUCCCAGAGUGUUUACAAAAUCGUGUCUAGUAGAGUCUUGCUUAUGGGUAUGUUGUGACUACACUUAUAAUUAGAAGGCUACCAGACAUUUAGGAGUUGUUUCUUAUACUUUCAUACUUUAGUUCGUGCUAUAGAGUCAUCCAUAAGAAAGUUAUCCAAGUUCCUUACUCGUUCUAAUUUCAUGGGUUAGGCCUUAUUGAUGAGGUAAUACAAGUCUAAGAGUCUAGCCUCCCCAGCUAUGUAGUUCUCCUUGAUUGAGUUAUCCAUAAAGUUAUGAAAUUGCACAAGGAGUUGAGAAGAGUCCAUAAGUGCUUUAAAGUUUACAGAUUUAAGCUUAUACUCCCUAUCCACAUCAAUCGUGUAUUUGAGCUUGAGGUAUAAAGUAUGUUCAACCCCUUUUCUAAAGCCCUUGUUGCAAAUGUCAUGUAUAAGGGUAAUGAUGUGUAGUAUAAUGUUAGAACUCUAUUUCCACCCGAGUAGUAGUAUAUGUUAAAGUGUCAUGAUCUAUUGGUAGUAGGAUGGUCUAUAAGUUAGUUGUAUGAAGUCACAAGUUUAAAAGUUUGAGUGGGGGUGAUUUUUGCAUAAAGAAGCUGGGUUUAGUCGCAUCACCCUUGAUUGAGGGAUAGAUUGCCUUUUUAUAGUAAGUGACUAAUGUUUUAGUAAAAUUUGUAGAUUGUAUGGUAGUCUGUGAAGGAAGUGGAUAGAUAUGAUUAUUAGUUAUACAAAAUAAGGAAGGAGCCUAGAGUAGAUGGUGAUGAUUGUUAUAUGAAUCUUUUAUAGGCUGUUAAUAGAAAGGGUUAAAAUAGCAAAUAAGUUGUAAGUAUAGACACAUUGCGAUAUAUGGAAUUUUGAAGGUAGUUGUGAUAUAUGUAUGGGUAAGUAACUAUGAUGUAAGAAAGUGGAAUAUGUUGAUAAAACUGUAAUAGGUUAUAUUAUAAGACUUAGACCGUUUAUUCUUAGUGACUUUACCCCUCCUUCCAUGAUUUUCCUUUCUCUAGUAGUUUUAAACUAGUACUUCAUAUGAGAAGGUUUAUAGUGGAUGCUGAGUUGUAAUGGUGAUGUUAUGGAGGGGUUGUGAUUGUAGGUAGUAGUUAAGUGAAAUAUUUGGGUUGAUUUCCCAAUUUGAUGGACUAGUAUAAUAUAUGGCAUGCUUUACCAGUGGUAUAUACUUAAGGAUAGACAGUAGGCUUGAACUUUAAAUGUGGGGUGUAGUGGUGAGAAUAGUAGCUCAAGAUUGAUGAUGCAUGUUUUGUGGAGUAAUUAGCAGGCCUGAUGUGAUGUGCAAAAUGACCUAGGUUGAUGAUUUAUGAAAAGUUUAAGUGGUAAUCGUGAGGUAUAUGUGUACAUGAGGACUAGUGAUAAAAUGAUGAAUUGUGGUUGAAUUAUUAAUAUGGAUAAGAGUGUGAGUUGAUAAUAAUAAGUUGAACUCUGAGGUAGCAUGUUGUUAGAUAAGGUGUGAUGUGGACGAGUGUCAAGUGUACCUAGAUUUUAUUCUUGAAUCUUGUAGUAUGGAGAAGUCUGGGAAGUAGUUGUUUGGUGCUCUUUAGAGUUGAAUUGAGGAAAAAUAGGUAGGGAUUAUGCGCCCUUGGUAUAGUCUUACGAAUUUUGUACAGUUGUAGGUUAUGUGAUUUUAAGUGUAAUGCGAGUAUACUAAGGAAUUGAAGAUAGAGUAUUAAGUGUUCAAAUGUGUGGGUGUCUAUACUCAUGAUAAUGGUAGUUGUAAGUUGAUGACCUUGGUGGUUAGAAGAUAUUACUAUUAGUGUCCCUAAAAGGAAAUGUCCUAGAAAGAAUUGUGUCUUUGUAUUAGAAAUUAUUGAGGGGAGUUUAUUUUCAUGUAUAUAUAUUGAUACCCCUUUUAUGAUGAGGAGUGUGGAUGCAUACACUCAUGAGAGUGGGAGUUGUAGAGUGAUGGCUAUAGAGGCUAGCAAAAUUUAAGAGUAGACAUUUCGAAAAGCAAGGCCUUCUGAGUAUAGUUCUUCAGGGAGAGUUUAGAGUUUAAGUAUGCAGUGAUGUCUCUUUUAUGUUAAGAGUUGUGGCUAUAGACUUGAUAAGAGAAUAUGUCUGUAAGUCUAGUAUUGUGACUUUGAUCUAAGGGGGAGAUGGGGAAUUAAGUGAGUUCUCGAAUGUUCUCAAUGUGGCAAGUUGCGGGGAGGAAUCGUGAUAAAUUUAUUCUUACUCAAUCAUACUCCCCCUACUUCUAUUUAGGAGAUUAUUCUACUAAUGUCCUACGUCAUGCCUAUGCCUAUGGUUUGAUUUCUCUAUGGACUUAUGUUUAUGAUCUUACCUCCAAACUAGAAGCAAUUAUAUCUCUCAGUAUUCCAUUCUUUCAUGUAUUUAAGCCAUAUGUUGGGUUGUCCUUGAUCCAUGAAAAUCUAUGUCUCUCAGCAUGCUUGGUUCUAAGAAAAUAUGUUUCUAUAUGUCACCGAUUCAUUCUACGUUGGGUUUAGCCAAAGUGAUAAAGUUUAUGCAAACUCAUGGCUAAUCUCAGUUCCUUAAAUAAGGAGCAAUCGCUUCAAGCGAAAAUCUUUGUUUUAGUUGUAAUGUAACACCCCGUAGCACUCUUGACUUAAUACCACUCUUGGUUGCAUGUAUGGAGAGCUGACAACCUAAAUUUUUUUUCUAAUUGUUAAAAGACUUAGUCAUAUUUUUGAGCUAUUAACUUUCAAACUUUUUGGCUAAUCUCAGGGGUGUUGUAAUACCCCACCUUUCUCCUAGUUCAAAUUUAUCUCUAGAACAUAAUAUAUGUUGCUUCAAAGAUGAAUAUAUUUUAUUCCAUGUGAAAUUUUUAAGAUUUUGACUUUUUAUCCCGUGGGAAAUCGAAUAAUCUUUCCAUCGAUACCAAAUUCGCCCUAAUCCGACACUCAGGCGAAGAGUUAGAGCCAAUUUAGUGAGACAGUGUACCACCUGGUACUUUAGCGCAUUGUGGAGCAAGCCAAAAUGGAAAUUGUCAAAAUCCAGUAAGCCUCCGUGAUUCCACCGCGUCACGGUGGCUUUCCAGUUCGCAACCAAGGUUGCAACGCAAUUUCCACCGCGUCGCGCCAAUGCUCAGUUUCCCAAUUGUCCAAUUUCCAGUAAGCUGGCGUGAUGUGGUGGAAAUUGCGUUGCCACCUUGGUUGCAAAUUGGAAAGUCACGGCAAUGCGGUGGACUUGUGGAGGCUUACUGGAUUUUGACAAUUGCCUUUUUGGCUUGCUCCGUGACGCGCUAAAGUACCAGGUGGUACACUGUCUCACUAAAUUAGCUCUAACUUUUCGCUCGAGUGUCAAAUCUGGGCGAAUUUCGAUGGAAAGCUUAUUCGAUUUCCCACGGGAUAAAAUGUCAAAAUAUUAAAAGUUUUACAUGGAAUAAAAUAUAUUCAUCUUUGAAGAAAUAUCUGUAAUGUUUUAGAGACAAAUUUGAACUAGGAGAAGGGUGGGGUAUUACAAUAUCUCCCCUUGGGAACAUCCGUCCUCGAAUGAGACUGAUUAAGCUGAGAAUACUAGUAGGAUGAACUUACUUGCUGGACAUGAAUAUGAUAAAUAUGACUAUAUGACUAGAACUACUGAUAUACUGAGAUUUUAUACUGAACAUACAUAUCUGAUGCAUGGAAUACACUACUGAAGCUACUCAUAAGCUGAAUUCUCAUAAUGGACAUGCAUAUCUGAUGCAUGGAUUCUUGACUGAGUUGUUCUCGUGAAUGAAUGACUGAAUACAUUGAUAAGCUGAGCUUUUCUACUGAACAUACAUAUCUAAUGCAUGAAUAUAUAUUUGAUUCUUGAAUUCAUGACUGAGUAUGCAAUAAUAGCUGGUGCUAACUUCAUAAGGAGAGUUUCAACAUGUAACUAAAUAAGUCUAAGGACAUGAAAUCAUCGGGAUAUUAUGGGGUAUAUCCCCCUUGGGACUUUAUGUCCCUUUAAAAACACUUCGCUGAAAUACUGGGGCGGUGUACGGGGCACCUACAAAUUGGGUCAUGAUUGAUCAUCUGAGAUCUGAAACUAAUGCAUGACUCAUGAACUGAGUUAUACUCAAAACUACUAGGAUACUCUAUCUUGGAAUAGUUACAUUCCCUGAGAUUUUAGAUAACAUGACUAGAUGGAAAGAUGAGAAAACAAACUACACAGAUCUGACUAUCUGACUGCUAAACUGACUUGCUGGCUUUACUGACUACAUCAUGCUGAAACUUAUACUUAACUGACGUAAUUCUUCUGCACUCUUUCAACUAUACUCUCCUCUUUAGCUUUAAGUCAUCACCAUAAGUCUGAGAACACUUUACUAAACUCUGAACUGAGCUACAAUCAAUCUACUCUAGAGUUUGGGGCAUAAUAAUGCACAUGAAUGAUACAAUUAUUGGGAAAGUCUGCACCUGAAAGUAUAAAACUCGCUGCUAAUACUAUAUUCUAGAAUACAACUCUUAACAUUCUUUAGUUUCUGCCAUCAUCAUCAUAUACCUACACCCCUUUCCGACACAUGCUUAUCUCACUAAACACAUCAUCUGCUUCUGUUCCUUCAUCAACUACUAGGAUCACACCUUCUAACUCACAUCCAUACCUUCAUACUUAGUUUUCAAUCAAUAACAUUAAAUUCUCGUAUGCAUUGUUCAAGCGUACUGAUUUACCUCUUAUAAAACUAUCCCCAUGAAUACAUAAUCUUCUCGAUAUGUUUAAUGCUAUCCCAAAUCUAAUACUACUAAACUCCUGAGUUCAUGCUUCUAACUCUAGGUCAUAUGAUAUCAUACAAUUCUGAGAAAGGAUCUGAUGGAAUACCACUGAGCAUGUGGGCGAUCCCAUAACUGUCUAUAGGGACGGUCUGACAAAGCCCUAUCUCUAGGACUUUGAGCUUACUGUCUCUAUUACCUCGAAGGUAAGGUGGAGUUGACAUGAAUGGAGCAUGCUGGGAAUCUACAUAACUUUCUUAAAGGACCUUUCUAUAGCACGAUCUGAGACAUGAAAGAAGGGAAACUUAUCCUAAAACAUCUUAUAGCCUCCUGUACAUAAAUGUGGAGCGUAAUACAACCAUGCACACGACUCUACUAGAUGCGGCUUUUCAGACUUUCUAGGACACUAUUGAACCUUAGGCUUUGAUACCAAGUUUGUAAUGCCCUAAUUUUCUGGAAUUGGAACGCCACACGAUGCUCAUCAUCCCAAAUAACCACAAGUUAAUCCUCUACUGAUAUUUGUACCUAAGCACUACAUAAUAUAAUAUAAUAAAUGCGAAAAACUAGUGAAAACUUGCCAUAAGGUUUAAAACAUCUAAAAUACUUAAUAUUGAACACAGAAUACUAAUACAUUUAUUUGAAAAGUCUCUAAAUGUCUAAACUAUGGAGUUGAUGGGACAUGUCCCCAACUAACUCCGUCUACUGAAAAUAAACUGACUCUAAUGCCAUAAUAAAAUAAGGAUCAUCCUCGAAUGAAGAGGACUCACUACUACGUCUACUGCUGCUGACUGAGUCUGGACUGUUAAGGAUGCUCUGGAUCUCGCGCUUCAGAACCUAUGGUAUAAGAUACCAUAGCGCAAGAGAAAAGUAUGUGUCAGUACUUUGAAUGUACUGGUAUGCUAGAUGAGGUAAGGCUAAAUGCUAGGGCUUAUGAAUGAACAUAGCUUAAUUGAAUAACACGAGAGUACUGAAUGAGGACAUAUGCAUGAAUGCAUAAACUAAAACUGGAAUCAUAGUAACACUGAAUACGAACUCUAAACAUUGGUUUUUGAAUACUGACUUACUGAUGACUGAGUCUACUAGUACUGAUAUCUAAGUUUACUAAUACUGAGAGACAAAAUAACUGAGUUUACUGAUAUUGAUGUCUAAUCUUGCUGAUACUGAUACUAAUUUAUUAUAUUUGAGAUGAAGCCUAUAUAAUGGGUGACCUCUGAGUUUACUGGUAAUGAUGCUUGAUACUUGAUAAACUGAGUCUCAGAUCAAGCCUAUAUAACGGGUGAACUCUGAGUCUACUGAUAAUGAAUAUGAUUUUCUGAAUCUGAGAUCAAGCCUAUAUAAUGGGUGACCUCUGAGUCUACUGAUAAUGAAUAUGAUUGUCUGAAUCUGAGAUCAAGCCUAUAUAACGGGUGACCUCUAAGUCUACUAAUAAUGAAUAUGAUUGUGUGAAUCUGAGAACAAGCCUAUAUAACGGGUGACCUCUAAGUCUACUGAUAAUGAAUAUGAUUGUCAGAAUCUGAGAUCAAGCCUAUAUAACGGGUGAUCUCUGAGAGGUAGUCAAGCCUAGUAUAACGGGCGACUCCUCAGCUGGAUUCUUUUACUGAGACAGAAUAUGAAACUAAGACUGCGGGAGGUAGUCAUCUAACCGAUAUGCCCCUCCUCACUUCUUUGGGAUCCAAUCGGUAACCCCAGUUGGAAGGGUGUCAGUACCAUGCCACAGGUAUAGAUAUUUCUCUCUAAACCCAGGAUGCCAUGCCUAAUAUAAUGAGUGACACCUGGUUGGAGCCAAGCCUAAUAUAAUGGGUGACUCCGAGGAGGUAGUUAAGCCUAAUAUGAGGGGUGACUCCUCAUCUUGCGCUGGCGACACAGUUCUAGAGUACAGAGAUUGUUAUUAAUGACUCUACCUAAAAUAACGGGCAAGCCGUCAUCCCUGUCCUCGCUCGAUGCUGAAUCCUACUCCCAACUAAAUAGAUACUGAACUGAUUCCUAGACUGUUCUAGACUAAGCCAAAUUUGUUACUGGUUAUCUUGCUUGACUGAGCUAAUUGAAUUUACUUUGUUUCGUUAUUUGACGAAAUGCUACUGAAUGCUUGUUAGCUUACUGAGUUUCAUUAAAGUCUAAAAUGAAUACUGGAUACUACUGAAUAUUAUUGAAUCAGAACUGAGUACUGAGUUGGAUUAGACUGAUACUGAGACUGAAUUGAACUAGAACUGAGAUUACUGAAUUUUCUUAAGUUAUGUACUGGCUAAAUUCUACUGAUCAUAGUACAACUGAAAUUAUCUUGAGACUGACUCGGCUCUAGACAUGCAUCUAAAUUUUUGAGUAUAAAUACCCCAGUACUUGAUAGCAUAAAUAAAUAAGGCAGGACCACACUUGAGUAUCAUGACAAUGGACUUUCAUUCACAACACAAUCAAUACGAUAUCUCGUCAAUCACUUGAAUGUCAUAAACAUGUAAAUGUAUAAAGAAUGCAUACAAUACCUCAUAGUUGUUCAAUAAGGAAUACAAAUGGAUAAGAAUGCAUGCAACUUAUCAUAAUACAUUCACUAAGGCAUUUCAACAAACGCUUGGCAUGCACUAGUUAUCACAAAAUUGGGGAUUUCCUUCUUAACAUACUAAAUAGACACUAUUAUCUUUACUUAAGCAUUCUAUCAAAUAGCGGAACCAAGUACAUUCAAUCAUCUCAGUCAAGCAAGAUGACCAGUAAUAGAUUCAACUCAAACUAGAAUAGUCUAGGAAUUAGUUUAGUGUCUAAUCAGUUGGGAGUAGGAUUCAGCAACGAGCAAGGGCAGGGAUGACGACUUCCCCAUUAUUUUAGGCAGAGUUGUUAAUAACAAUCCCUACACUCUAGAAUUGCAUAGCUAGCGCAGGAUGAGGAGUCACCCAUUAAAUUAGUCUUGACUACCUCCCUGGAGUCACCCGUUAUAUUAGGCUUGGAACUGACUGAGUUCUACUGAGUUUUAUAUCUAACUGAGAGUACUACUGAUUGUGAAAAGACUGAUACUACUCUGUAACAGACACUGACUCUAAAUAAACAGCUAAUUUAUUGGGUAUUAAAUAUCCCUAAGACUCGAUAGCAUGAAAAGUGAAGCAUCACAUGAUCUUGUAAAGCGUAACAAUGUAUACAUGUUCAUAAUUCAUCUAUAGAAAUAUUUCAUCAAACACUUGUAGGGCACAUGCUUGUACAUAUACUAACAUGUCAAGAUUCUAUUACUUUACUCAUAUGGACAUUCUAUCAAACACUUGGGGAGCACAACCUAAUGCACAUAAUCAUGGAUAACAUAUAAACAUGGCAACUACAAUGCCCUAACUUGCAAUUUCAUGGGUUUAACGUGCAAUUCAUAUAAUUUCCCCCUAAAUACUAUUCUAUUUUUAUGAAUCUUAUCAUAAUCAUGGAUCGAACAGCAAAUUCACCUCCUAAACACAUUAAUCUCUUUGUAAAUUUAAGGGUUUAUCAAGAUAAUCACAUAUUCAUUACAAAUGCUAUUCAAUUUCAUGAAACUUGCACUUAAAUCAUGGAUUGGCGCCCAACUAAUAUCACAGACAUGAAUUCAAUAUAAUUCCAACAUGAAAAUCAUAAAUCAUAACUCUUGAAGUUUAAAAAAAAUGGAUUCUUGGACUCUAUGGGUGGAAGGGACCCAUAGAUGAACACCUAACAUACCUUAAUUGUGAGUUUCUUGAAGUUCUUGGUGAAUCCUUGAGCUUUGUUCUUUAUGUCUUGAGAGCUAGGGUUUUGCUAGUUUGAGAGAGAAUGGUUUUAAUUUAGGGAUGAAUUGAAUAAUGAGUAGCUAAGGACAUUUUAGGGAUUAAAUCCCAUAUCUGGGCAUAAUAAGAUCGUGGGAAAAGACUGUUUUAACCCUAGGCGUCCUUUUUAUUUUUUGUAAAAAUUUUCCAAACUGGGCCCUUGGCGUGACGUGCCACUAUCGCGGAGACUCAUUGGUUUUUGACAAUUGCCAUUUUGUCUGGCUCCGUGAUGCACUGAUGGCUCAGGUGGCACCUUGUCAUACUAAAAUGGCCAUAACACUUCGCUCGGGUGUCGGAUUUGAGCAAAUUUUAUAUAGUUAGAAAGACAGUUCAAUUUCUUAUGCAAUGGAUUCCUUUAAACUAAAAAAUAUUGAGUGUUUUAAAAAUCUUAUAUAAGAUUACUCACGUAAUGAGAGUAAAUUUAGGCUAGAGAAAUACGAGGUAUUACAAAAAUUAAGGGAGAUAUGAUAGAACAAGUAACCAAGUCAAGCUCUCAAAUUCUAGUAGGAAGGAAGAUGCGCAACCUAUUCUCAUCUCAGUGUAAGGUUUUCCAUUAUAACGAUAUCUACUCAUGCCUUAUAUGCCAUCUCUAUGAUCAUAGUUCAUGUUCACGCACAUAAUAGAGAAUUAUGUACUCUCCCAGUUCCUAGUAUGGGGAGUUUCAGUUCACUCAGCAGUACAGACCAUGUUCCAUAAAAUUAUGAAUUCUAAACUCAAAUCAUGUAGCUCAUGAAUCACGUACCCAUGCUUUACAGUAUGCUCAGUUCUAGGUACUCAUGCUACACUCUUAAUGACCAGCGAAAUUCUGAUUUUAGUCAUGUAUAUCCUCAAUUUUGAUUGCUAUAACGAAUCCAUGUCAUGGAUACUCUAUUCCUCGAGCCUCAUUAAAGCGUCUAGUUAGGCUUAGUAUCGCUUCACGUUUCAGGUUCUCAGAUUCUAACCUUUCAGUGACCUUUUUUUAUGUCAAAAUAAUGAUGAUGAACAAUUGUUUAGAUGGGAGAGUAUAAAUGUUUCUUAUUGAUGAAAGAUCAUUGUACAAUUGUUUUAGCUAAGGCUAUAAGUGUGAAGUAAGAUUGAGGCCAAAUCUUUUAUGCAUGCCAUGGUUAGUUGAAAUUUUUAUGUUUAUGUUCUUGGAGUAGUGCAUAGAAGUUGUUAAUGAUAGAGGUUUGGAGGAUUGGAUAAAGAAGCUAUUAUGGGUGUUUGCUUAGACGUUCAUAUGUGGUUACAAUAAUAGGCUAGAAUAUCAUGUUGGUGUAUAAGGGGAUGAAUGCAUUGCAUGCUAGUUUCCAACCUUCUCAGCCUUAGAAUAUAAAUUUUUAGGUUUAUACAUGAUCAGGGUUGUCCAUAGCACAUAGGGUAAGUUUUAGAAUUUUUUGACGAGGUUUGAGACCUGUUUGGAUGGUCAAAACAAUGAGGCAACAAGAUAUGGCCACGACAUAUUGCAUAUCGAGUUGGUAGGGAGCAGUGAGAUACGAUGCAUAUCGCGUCAUUAGAGCAAUACAACGCGCCACUUAUCUUAUCGGUAGUUCAGUUCAGUAAUGGUGUUAUAUGUAGUACCCCAUGAUUUUGAGUUAGGGUUGAAUGUGGCGAGAGUAUGUAGUUCAACUCGGAUUUCAGUCUAGAGUGGUUAUAUGUAUCCAUGUGAGAAUUAUUAGUUGAAUCAAAUGAGAAUAGUAUUUAAGGGAAAAGUAUAGUUAAGGGAGUAUUUUAGAAGUGUGUCUGAGCUUUGAAAGUUAGUCGUUGUAUUGCCUAAGGACUAGAAAUUCUAUCUUACCUUAUGUGUCAUAGGCCUACAUUUCACGUCAUAAAGUUGUAGUCAUGUUGUGGUUCCUUAUUUAGAUAUCUUGUCCAGAUCAUGCCCCAGAUUCUUUGCUCCCUAAUAUUAAUAUAACUUCUUUAGGAAGAGUGUUGAAGAGAUACUCCAGUUAAGUAUAAGUUUCCAGUAUAAUUCAGUUCAUAUAGCCAAUAAUUCAGUAUAGCAGUCAGACAAACAAGUCCCUAUGGUUUUCCAUCUUUCCACCCAGUCCUACUAUCCAAAGUCUCAUAUGUAUGGCCAUUCCAAGAGAUAAUCUAUUUGCAUCCAUGUAAAUUGAUAAUUCAAUUUAGUCCAAGCAUCAUGUUUUAGAUUCAUCUAGUUAGUCAUAAAUCAGUUCAUAAGUGUUCAAUGCAUAAUCUCAGUUUUCCAAGUAUUCCAACUCAGAUAGUGUAAUACCCCUAGUACGAUAUUAGUUUCAUUGUCUAAUGAUUCGUUCUUGCAUAAGUUAUCACUUCGCAGUUCCAUAUGUAUGAUUGUAUCAUGGACACUUUAAGCAAGUUCUAAACUCUCAGCAUGAAUCAUCUUCUUAUAGUAAGUAAAGUUAAGUCAGCUCAGAAAUCAGUUUCAUGAUGAAAGUUUUAAUUUUUCAACUCAAUUAUAUCCUUUCUUAGUAGACACAUCAUGUCUACAUUAUUCCAUACUUCUAAGACUUCAAAAAAAGGGUUCCUAUCUAUUAUUUGAGGACGAAUGAUUCCAAGGGGGAUAUAAUGUAACACCCCCCAUUUUUUAGCUAGAAAUCGAACACACGUUCCAACGUGUGUAAACUCUGAUCCCAUAAUUUAUAUUUUAAUUCACGUGUCAUAUUUUUAUCCUUUUUUUUGAAGUGCUUUCUAGGUGAAAAUAUUCAUAGGAAUCAUUUAGAGCAAAGUUGAGCUAAGAGCCUUUGAUUUGGCAAAAUCUUUGUAUUCGAUUCUAUAAGGGACUACUUUGACCAUGUAUAACUUUUGAUACAUGUAGAAUUUUAUAGCUCAAGACCCACCAAAUUAUAGAUAAUUGAGUUAGAUUUCCAACGACACCAAUUUUGUCUUAAUUCGAAACCCGAGUAAAAAGUUAUGGCAUUUUUUAUGAGAGGUAGUAUGCCAACGCGAUUGGGACAUGACGUGCCAAUCUAUCAACACAAUAAUCGACGUGAUACAUUGCUGUCCCUAAUGCGAUACAGAGCUAUUUCACACGUUGCUUCAGUUCCUAAAGGGUCUAGGGUCACUUUGGUCAAUUUCCCCCACUCAAAACCGUCCAUAACACAUAAUUUCAAUCUCCAAAAGCAUUAGAUACAUUAUUAUUCAUCCUUUUUUCUCCAAGAAAACCCUAGCCCCUCAAGUACACCAAGAACUUCAUCAAAUUUUCUUCAAGAAAAGCAAGAAUCCAAGCUUCCUAAUUCAAGCACUUCAAGAAGAAGCUUCAAGAACACCAUUAGAGAUUCAAAAUUCAAACUUUUACAUCAAAUUAAUCAAAAAGGUAUGUGGGGUUAUGAAAAAGGAUACUUCUUUUAUCCUUAUGCCCAAACUAGUUUUUAAAGUUGAAUUUACAUGAGUUCGAUUUAGGGUUCAUACCCAAUUAUCAUUGUUUGAAGCUUAUGAUGUUACAAGUGAUUUAAGUGUUAAAUUGCAUAACUACUUUCACAAAUUCAUGCGUGUGAUUUGAUUUCAUAUAUUGAGAAUUGAAUUUCUUUGUCUUGAUUAGAAUUGUUAAAGUAUUUUAAGAUUAUUGUUAUUAGCGUGAAGUUGUUGUGAUUUGACAUGAGUUUCAAGAAUGGGUUUGAAGCCCCAAGUUUAAAUAUUGAUAUUUCAAGAAAGAUCAUGCUUAAGCUUUCUUUAAUAAGUAUGUAUUCAUAUUUUAAGUAAUAUUUGAUCUUUUGAUCCUCAGCUAAGAUAUGGAAUCCACACAGAUUAGUUUUGAUUACAGUUUAAAAAAGAUUGAUGUAUAAUUGAUUUUCAUUAUAAACCCUUAUGCUAUUUUAAGAUGGAUUUCCUAUAGAAUGAGCAUACAAAUUAAAAGGAGUAGUAUUUAGCACCGAGUUGGGUAUGUGUCCUACUUCACAUGCCCCAGAACUAUGAUCCAAUGUAGGUACAAAUUUAGAUUAUUCCCAUUUAUAUGGAUGCCGAUAAAGAUUAUGAUCACUCAGCUCAGGUUAUACUCCUUGGCAAGAAUAUGACACCUCUUUCCAACAUGAAGUUUUAUCCUUAGGGUAACUAGACGUUAGGCUCCAUGAUAUCUCAAAUGAUAUAUGUCGGUUAAAAGAACCUCCCUAACAAAAAAGAAUAACAAAAAAAAAUUAAUAGAAAAUCCCUAAUUCCUAAGUCCUAAGAAAGAAUAAAAGAACAAAUUUUAGAAGUUAACUGUAAAGGCUCAUAAUUUUACUCAAAUAUUAUUUUAUGUAAGACAUUAGCUAUGAGAUUUUCAGCUUUUAGUUUAUAGAUGAUAAACGUGAGUCCUUUUACACUUAGCUUGCAUGAUUUGAAAACAGACUUGACUCCAGUCCUACUUAUUCCACUAAUAUAAAGAGUAAAAGUACAACUUUUAGAACUAAGUGUUAUUGCUCACAAGAUUUAUAUAGUAUUCUUUAUUAUUCAUGAUUCAUGGUUUUGAGCUUUCAGUUAUUCAAGCCAAUGUGAGUCAUUUACACUUAGCAUACAUUCUUUAUUAGUUAUAUGCAAAAUUAGUUACAGUUUUUACUUAUGCAUUCACCCCUACACGCUCAGUACAUUCCCAAAGUACUGAUCCACAUAUAUGUUUAUAUGUUACAUUGUUUAACAAUGUAGGUACCAGUGGUAGCCCAUACAUCAUAAUCAGACAAUGUGCAACUUUUAUUCAAUAGGUGAUGAGUCCUUUUAAUUCAAGGGCUCGAGUCAGUCAACGUUCGAGUAGUAUCUUAUGUUCUUUAUUCAUUCGUAUUGAUUAAGGAUAGUUGGGGGUCAUGUCUCGACUACCUACAGUCAAUACUAGAAGAGACUUCAUAGACUGUCAGUAGAAGUUAAUGUAUUUGAUUCCAGUUUUGUCUUGUAUAAUCAGAGUUGUAAUUAUUUUCAUAUAGUUUGUUUUGAUCAUAUUUAGAAAAGAUGUAUCUUCCACUUAUUUCUUUUAGACUUAUGUAUUUUAUUCAGUUGCUCACAAGUUAUGCCAGUACAAGGGUUAUCUUGGGAUCACUUGUUGUCCUAAGCAUCAUGUGACAACUAGGGGUAGUCUUGAGUCAUUACAGUUCCCUAUGAACUUUCCUGGUAUGCUUCUGUAUUGAGAUAUGGAUUUCGCUAUUGAUGUUUAGACGAGUACCCACCCAUUUCUAUUUCUUCUUAUAAGAUAUCCCCAAUAAAGUUGAAGGAACUAAAGAAUCAAUUAUAGGAGUUGUCAGAUAAGAGAUUUAUCCAACCUAGUAUUUCACCUUGGGGUGUGCCUGUCUUGUUUGUGAAGAAAAGGAUGGGUCUAUAUGGAUGCGUAUUAAUUAUCGACAGUUAAAUAAGGUGACGGUUAAGAAUAAGUAUCUUCUUCCUCACAUUGAUGAUUUAUUUGAUCAGCUUUAGGGUGUUGCUAUGUUUUUGAAGCUUGAUUUAAGGUUUGGUUAUCACCAGUUGUGGAUUCGAGCUUUGGAUAUUUCAAAAACAACUUUUUGAACUCAAUAUGUUCAUUAUGAGUUCUUGGUCAUGUCCUUCAUAUUGACCAAUGCCCCUGCCAUGUUUAUGGAGUGGAUAAACUAGGAGUCUUGACCAUAUCUUGACUCUUUUGCUAUUGUAUUAAAGAUGAUAUCUUAGUUUAUUUCAAGAGUGAGGUUGGGCAUGAGAAGUAUUUGUAGAUCGUGCUUCAGAGAUUGAGGAAUGAGAAAUUAUAUGCUAAGUUCUCUAAGUGCGAAUUUUAGUUGGAGUCUAUUUCUUUCUUGGGUCAUGUGGUGACUAAGAAAGGUAUUAUGGUUGAUCCAUCCAAGAUUGUCAUGGCUCAUGGUUGGGUUAGAGCUACAUUGCCCACUGAGAUUCAGAGUUUUAUUGGCUUAGCAGGCUAUUGUUAGUAUUUUUUAAGGGUUUCUUUUCUAUUGCAGCUCCAUUAACCAAGUUGACCCAGAAGAAAAUUUCUUUUAAGUGGUCUGAUGCUUCUAAGAUGAGCUUUCAAAAGCUCAAGGAUUUGUUGACUUCAGAUCCUAUCUUAACUUUGCCAAGAGAGGGCAUGGGUUUUACCAUCUUUUAUGAUACUUCAGGUUUUGGGUUAGGUAUUGUGUUGAUGUAGAAGGGCAAGGUGAUUGCUUAUAUGAUUCAUCAGUUGAAACCUCAUGAGAGGAAUUAUCCUACCCAUGAUUUGGAGUUAUGUGCAGUGGUGUUUGACUUGUAGUCAUGGAGGCUCUACUUGUAUAGAGUCUGUUGUAAGAUUUUCUCAGAUAAUCAUAGCCUUUUGUACUUUUUCACCCAACAAGAUCUUAAUAUGAGGCAGUGUUAUUUUCUUGAGUUGCUUAAGGAUUAUGAUUUAACUAUUCUCUACCAUCCGAGCAAGGCUAAUUUAGUUGUAGAUAACUUGAGCUGAAAGUUGACUAGCAUGAGUAACUUAACGUAUCUUUUGACCCAGGAGAUGCCUUUGGACUUAGAGGUUUAGUCUUUAGCUAACCAGAUGACUAGGCUUGAUAUUUCUACACCUGGGCAUAUUUUGGCAUUUAUGGAGGCUAUAUCUUUUGAGAUGGAGUAGAUUUGAGCUCAUCAGUUUGAUAAUGAUGGAUUGAGGAUGAUUCAAGAUAAGGUAUUGAGCCGGGAGGCUAAUGAAGCCUCACUUGAUUUAGAUGGAGUUUUGAGGAUUGGGGGUCGAGUUUGUGUGCUGAGAGUGGGUGAUUGGAUUAGGUAGAUCUUGGACGAGGCCCAUUGUUCCAGAUAUUCUAUCCAUCUAGAUGUUACUAAAAUGUAUCAUGAUUUGAGGAAGCAUUACUGGUGGGGUGGUAUGAGGCAAGAUAUGGCGGAUUUUGUGGCUCGUUGCCUAAGUUAUCAGCAUGUGAAGGCCGAGCAUAUAAGGCCUGGUAGGUUGCUUCAGAGGUUACCCAUUCUCGCGUGGAAGUGGGAACAAAUCACCAUGAACUUUAUGACUGGUUUGCCUUGUACAUCUCAUGGUUCUGACAGUGUUUGGGUCAUCGUGGAUCGAUUGACCAAGUCAUCUCAUUUUAUUUUGGUUCAGGUCUCAUUCAUUGCUGAGAGGUUGGCCCGUAUCUACAUUCAUGAGAUUGUGUAUCUGCAUGGUGUGCCAGUAUCCAUUAUUUUGGAUUGAGGUUCUGUGUUCACAUCUCACUUUUGGAAGACUUUUUAGAAUGGGUUAGAUACUCAGGUUGAUCUUAGCAUAGAGUUUUACCCCAGAAUAUUGGACAAUCAGAGCGGACUAUCCAGGUUUUGAAGGAUAUACUCCACACAUGCGUGAUGGAUUUUGGUGGCCAGUGGGAAUAAUAUUUGGCUUUAGCAGAGAUUGUAUAUAAUAAUGGUUACCAUUUUAGUAUUGAUAUGGCUCCUUUUGAGGCAUUGUAUAAUAGGCAUUGUCACUCCCCAGUGGGUUGGUUUGAUGUUUCAUAGGUAAGACCUCGAGGUACGAACUUACUUCUUGAGUCUUUGGAUAGAGUUGGGGUCAUUUAGGAUAGACUUAGAGUGGAUCGCAGUAGGCAGAAGUGUUAUGCUGAUCGUAGACUCGUGCCUUGAGAUUUGGUGUUGGUGAUCAUGUUUUUCUUCGAGUUUUACCCAUGAAAGAUGUGAUGAGGUUUAGGAAGAAAGGCAAGCUUAGCCCCAGGUAUAUCAACCUAUUUGAGAUUCUUCAAACUGUUGGUGAUGUCACUUAUAAGUUAGCUUUGCCCCCUGAUCUAUCAACUGUUCAUCUAGUUUUUCAUAUUUCUAUGCUUCGUUGCUAUAUUCCUGACGAGUUUCAUGUCAUUCAUUAGGAGUCGAUUCAGUUUGAUGAGUGUUUGUCCUUUGUUGAGGAGCUGAUCUCCAUUUUAGCUAGAGAUGUUAGGCGGUUGCACUAUAGAGUUAUACCUGUGGUUAAGGUUCAGUGGCGUCAUCGACCUGUAGAUGAGGUUACUUGGGAGAUUAAGUCUGAUAUAUGUAAUUCCUAUCCUAUCUUUUCAUUAAUUCGGGUAUUUCUUUGCCUUAGUUCGAGGACGAACUAGAUUUUUAGUGGUAGAUGAUGUAGCAAUCAGUUUUUUGAUGAAAUAUAUGAAUUGUGUAUUUUUUUUUUGUGAUUUGACUGUUUUACUCCUCUCUAUAGUUGCAUUGUAUUUUGAGGUAUGGGGGUGAUUAACAUGGUUCCAGAUGCAAUUUUAUACCAUUUAUGCAAUAUUAUAAUUUUUGAUGGCUUCGAGAGCCUUAUUUUAGACUUAUGUAGAUAUCUUUUGAUUUGUGUGACAGAUGGCUGAACGGACUACGCCAGCACCUCCAAAAUUUUGAUUUUAGGCUAGGUAUACCUUUGGUUCGGGUCCCGGUGCACCCGAGGUCAUUUUGACCUAUUGAUCGAAAAGUUGGAAAAUUAGAAAUAUGGUGUGGGACCCAUAUUUGAUCGAAAUGACCUUGGAUGGAAGAUUGAAAAGUUGGAAAAUUAGAAAUAUGGUGUGGGACCCACAUUUGAUCAAAAUGACCUCGGAUGGAAAAUCUGACUUCGCCAGCAGAUCUAGAACGUCGAUUUUAUGGUGGUAGCAUAUUUGGUUUGAUUUUACGGCUUUUAAAUCUCAUUUCAAUCCUCGGUUUGGAAAUUUGUGAUUUCGGGUUUCAAGGGUCAACUUUGUGAAAAGAAUAUGUUUUUCAAAAAUACAACUUCGCCAAUGCAUUUGAAACGUUGAAUUUAGUAUGGUUGCAUAGGUUGUUUUAAUAUAUCGCAACUCCGAACGAAUUUCGGGCACCCCGUCGAAGUUCAGAUUGAACUUAAAAUGAAGAAAAACAGCUUUUUAUCUAUAGAUGGUGCAGAAAAUCUGCACUAUAAAUAGAAGUUUAUUAGCCUAUUUUGCUCAUUUUUCAUUUUGUCUUUUGAGAGUUAAACCUUAAAUUAGUGUGAAAACUUAAAAGUGAAGCUUGUGGGAGCAUGGGAAACUAGAUUAACAUCUAUUUCUUGAUUCUAUUAUGGAUUUAAGGUAAGAAUUCACCCUUUUAAUAGUAAUCUCUUGAUUAAUUUCUCAAAACUCCAAAAAUCUCAGGGUUUGAUUUUAAACCCCAAUUUUGCUCCCUUUUACUUGAAUAAUAUUUUAAUCUUAUAGUUACUAGUUUUCAUCAAUUUGACCUUCAAAACAACUCCAAUUCUUGAUUUUAACCCGUAUUUCAAAGAUUUUACCUAAUAAAGCUUAAAAAUGAUUUUUCUUCGAGUUGAAUCUCAUUUUUGACUUGAUUUGACUUGAAUUUUCAGCUGUAGGUUCCUAAAAAUAUGAAAAACACAUUUUUGAAGUAAAAUUAUGAUUUUGUCCUUCGUUUUUGAAAACUCAUUUUGGGGGUCCGUUUUGACCACGAAUCAAGUAGUCAAUAUGGGUGUCAUUGAUUUUGUUUUGACGCAUAGAUUCCAUAAUCGAUAUUUUUAGUGGUGUUCAGGAUCAUUUGUGAAAAGUAAAAUCGUGGGUUCAAAGUGUAGAGGGUCAAUUUCGGCUUUAGGUAGGUUAUGGCUUAACUCUUUCAGAUUGGGUUGAGUAGUAAAUGAUGGUACAAAAUGCAUAUUAAGGGUGAGAACUAAUAAUGAAAAAUGAUUAUCUAUGUGUUGUGUCCGUGUAGGGGCCUAUAUGUAAUGUUAUUGUUGAAAUUGAGAUAUUAUGUGAUAUGUGUGACCAUGUGGAGUCCUAUGUGAUGUUGAUAGCCUUAAAUAUAUGUGAAUAAUUUUAUUGUGUUGUUGAAAUGCCUAAUGUGGUACCAUUGGUGUACUGUGAUAUAUUUAUAUUUGUUGUUAUAUGAGACAUGUGGAAAUUUAUGGAUGAAAUGAAAAUAAUGAGUGAAUAUUAGCUCACUUGGUUGUGAAAAUGUAUAAUUAUAGUUGGUUGUUAAAAUAUAUCAUUGUAUUGACUAUGAAAAUACUCAUUGUGAUUGAUUGUGAGCAUUACAUCCUCAUAUCAUACUCAUUCAUGAAACAUUGGUACCACUGUAGUAACACCUGAAUAAUACUGGAAACACCUUUUUAAACUCUCCCCGAGGGAUGUGUCGGAGAGAAGAUAUUAUAAUACUUUAUAAAACCCCUUUUGAGGGAUGUGCCAGAAAGAAAAUAUGAGAUAUAUGGAUUGUAUACGGAUUGACGAACCACCAAUGGGUCCUACGCCAGAAAGCUUUAGCUCCGUAGGUGUAUACGGAGAUUGUGUGGCGAUCCCAAAGGUUGUGUGACGACCUCGUGCAUCAUCAUCAUCAUCAUCACUAUCAUAUACAAUGCACUUACUUUAUUGUGUUUAUGUUAUGUUGUAUUGCUAUAUUGACUUGUCAUCUAUAUAUUUGUCUUACCUUCCUUUACUUGUAUUUGAUGAUCUUGUAUCUACAUGUUCUCCUGUGUUCUACUUAUAUGUGACAUAAUACAUACUUGUGUUCUAUCUUGGUGUGUUAUUGUAAUAUAUGUGAUAUAUUAGAACUCUUAGUGCAAGCGGUGUGGGAUACCAUUAUGGGACAUUUUUUAUUGUAGGUGACGUGCCUUUAGUGUGUAUUUUGUAUGCUUUAUUUUCUAUUUUAUGAUACCUAAUGAGUACAAGUGGCCUGUACUCUCUCCUACUUCACCCUUUUGGUGCAGCUUCAUGUUCGGGUGCACCUAAGAUUAGUUAAUUUUUGAGCGCCUUCAGAUUACUCAAGGUAGCAGUUUGACAUUCAUACGUCUGGAGUUCACCUCUAUCUUUCUGUGUUAGUUAUGUCUUUAUUAGUAUUCUCUAAGACCCCGCAAAAUACUUGUCGUCUAAAUCCCUUAAAUGAUGCCCAAAGAGUUCUUACACUUAGAAAAAAAAUCUAGCUAAGUGUUGGGACUUAGUCAUUUCUAGAGCCUCAAAACUUUGAGGAUUUUAUUACCAACCUUCCCGGCCUUCGAUAGUUGAUAUUUUAGCUAAUUCAUGAUUAGAAAAGUCAAUAGGUGUUUCCAGACAAGUUUUGGAAUUUUUGAUCCACGUUUAGACCACGUUUGGUGUCCCAAAAUAGUGGACCAACACAAUCUUGGCGCACCGCGUCGUCCAUUACGUUGGUCAAUUUUGUUGCAGGAACUGCCAGUCAAAAGUACUGAGGCUUGGCGCGAUUAUGGCGCGAUGCGUCGGUAUCGCGUCGGUGCCAUCGAUGCACCGCAUCGUUAAUCGCGUCGAUGCCUAAUUUUUUAGUUUUUGAAAUCCGCAUCCAAGGGGGGAAAUUUAGUCUUUUCCCCACCUUCUAUCAGUCAUAGCACGGGAUUAAGGUCCCCAAAUACAAAAAUAUAGCCUUCUUCUUUAAAAUUCACCAAGAACACUUUCUAGGGUUUCAACCCGAAGUUCAAGAGAACUCAAGAUUUAACCGUCACUUUUCAAAAUUUCUUCAAGAAUCGGAAUCCCUAGACCAAUGGCAUCAAAAAUAUCAAUCUAAAGUCGCGAAUAGAGUCACAAAAGCGAGAGUUCAUUCAAAGUCCAUAAUCUAAUGUAUGUGGGGUUUGAACAAGAACACUUCUUCUGUUCUUGUGCCCAAAACUUUGAUUUUAUUAAAGAAUUUCAUAUUUCUACAAGUAAGUUUUUAUCCAAUUUACUCUAUUUUGAGUUUAUGAACUUAGAAAUUGUUCAAGUCUUGAAAUUACAUGUUAUCUCAAUUAGUUAUGUCUUGGAAUGAGGAUUUAUGUUGUGAAUUGUAUUUCCCCAUUGAAAACUGAUAUUUUUAAGUGUUUCCAAAGUUGAAGUCAAGAAUUAAACUUUAGUAUGAAAUUAGAUCAUUUGAGUAUAUGUUGAUGCUUUGAGUCAAGUAUGAAUUGUGAUGUUUCUUGAAGGCUAUGUCUUUAACGUGAUUUAAUAUACAAGUACUUUGAUUCUUAAAGAAAGAUCGCUUUUGACCCCAAGCUAAGAUAGGGAUCCACAUUGUUUAUGAUUUGAAGCAAAGAAAAGCAUAAUUGGCUUUCAUUAUACAUUAGUGUACUAUUUUAAGGUGGAUUUCCUAAAAGUUCUGAGCCUAAGUAUGGGAGUAGUAUUUACCACCGAGUUGGGCUUGAUUCCAAGGUUUCAUGCCUCAGAACUACGAGCCUCCGUAGGAUGAUAAUUUAUCCCAAGUGGGUUAAGAUAGUGAUCACUAAAGUUAAGGUUCUAUUCCGAUGCCAAGGGUAGAACAGCUCUCCUCAACGUGGGCAAGAUGUUGGACUCCAUGUCAGCUCACAUAGUUUAUAUCGAUUAGAAAAAACUCCCAAGUUUUUAAAGAGUCCCAAAGUUCUAUAAUCAUAAGUUUUUGAAUUCCUAAGGUUUCAAAAGAAGUUCUUUAUUCUCCUUAAGAUAAAAGUAUAAGUUUGAAAGUUAUUGUUUUAAGAUUCCUUUUUGGUUUACAAACUUUGAGAAUAAGAAGAGAAUACAGAUUUUAGAACUAAGUAUAAUGACUCACGAGAUUUUUUAUUACAUGUUUCAUUAUUCAUGACUUAUGACAUUUAUAUUUUGGACUUAUUCAAGCUAUGUGAGUCAUUCAUAUUUGCAUGCAUGGUUUCGUGAAGAAUAAUGAUAUUAUUUACUUAAUGCAUACACCCCCAUAUACUCAGUACAUUCUCAAAGUACUGAUCCACAUAAAUGUCUGUGUGCUACAUUAUCUCAUAAUGUAGGUUCAAGUGCUCAGUCUCAGCCGCGACAGUGAUUCCCGAGUACCUCCAUCUACACUCCGCAGUAGGUUAAUCCUCAUGGCUCGAGGACCUAUUUCUCAAAUUUUCAGUCUUGAUAUCAGUUGUUAUGGCUUUCAGUUCAGUCGAGUCAGUUGGGGGUUUGUCCCAAUGACUUUCUAGUUCAGUAGUAAGUAGAGGCUUGUCGGACUAGACUAGUAGUUGAUUCCCAGAUUUUUAGUAUUGAUUUAUCAAAUGAUUAUUUCAGUUGUUUUAGUUCAGAUUUGAUAUGACAUAGUGUUGUUCCAUGACUUAUCUAUCCUAAAGUAAGUGUUAAAAGUAGUAGCAGGCUCAAAGGGUUAGCUUGGGGCUACUUGUGGCCUUAACCACCGUGUGACGUUCCGGGAUGAGAUUUCGGGAUGUUACAUAUUCGAAGACAAAUAUUAUUCCUUUGUGGUUAUUUUCUGAUGUACUGGGCAUGAUAAGUAUUUUGGAUAAGUUCUUUCUGCAUUGUUAUAAUUACUUGUAUGGUUCGGCUUCAUUCUAGAAGCCUUAUCUUAGGCAUUUCUGUCUUUUCUUUUUCCUUUUUGUAUUAGUUUGGGUGAUAGGCUUACUUGUCAAGGUACGCUGCAACAAGUGCCAUCAUGACCCUUAUUUUUAGAUCGUGACAGAUAUAUCAUCACAUUUCAAAUUUAAAUGAUUUGAAAGAAUAUUCUCAUUCACCAACAGUCCUUUACCAUGAGAUUGUAUUGUAUUGUAUAUGAACUGGUCUCAAAGUGUGUCAUACAAAUAUUAACGUUAGCCAUUAUUUAUAAUAAUUUAUCUUUUUAAACUUGAAAAUGUAUCAAAUAGUGUGACAAAAGAGUGCAUAUCAUAAAACUACUAAAGAGAUAAUAUAAUAUAUAUGACAAAAACAGAGAACAAAGAUUCAUGCCAUUGUUAUCUGAAGAGUAUUUUUUUUGUUUUUAAUUUUUUUCGUAAGCAUAUUUUAUUUUUCUUGCAAGUUUAUUUUGAUCUUCCAUGACAAAAGUGAAUGUAACUGUAGUUUAACUGAAAAGAUAUUCAGUACUGAGAAAAUAAAAACAGUUGAUUAUGUGCAGUUGAGUAUUUUGUAGAUUAUUUUUUUGUUUUGUUUCUUUAUCUGAUAUUUAUUUAGUCAGCAAUUGAGUAUUAUAAAGUAUUAAAAAAUUCAAUGUGUUAAAUUUUCAAUGGACUUGCAUUGAACAAUGAAAAAUUAGUACCAAAUCUAACAUUGCGAAUGCUGCAAAGUCAAUUAUCAUAUAUGUGUUUUUUUAUUUUUUUAUAAAAUAUUUAUUAAAACUAUUGUCCUAUGAUAAGACUGUUGUCCUAGUUGCAUUCAAUAUUAAACAAAGCUACUAAUUAAGUGGGUCUUAUAUGAAAAAUUUGAAAAUAGAUGAACCAUUGUGUCUUUGAUGGAUAAAGAGGUUAAUGGUCAGUUCUGUUCCUUGUUAAAUAUAUUCUCCUAUUUUAGUUUAUUAUUGAGUGUAAUUGUAAUGGAAUGAUAUUGUUCUAAGGUUUUAGUAGUGAUACUUUAGUGCAUAUAGAGUAUUUGAGUUCUCAAAGGAGAAAUCCUUUGGGGCUUUGCAAUACAUCUUUUGUAUACAAUGUUGCAACCUGCUUUCAUGCCUGCAACAUGUUUACCUGUAAAAAUAUAUUUGAGCAAAAGUACUUUUUGAUUUCAACAUGGUGAUUAAGUAUAGUAGUACUACAAUAUCAUCAUAUCUAGGAUGAAUAGGGGUCAGGAUGGCUCGUCCGCCUACUGAUUUUUUUAACAGAUGUAAGAUGAGAAAUAUAAAGUCAUAGUGAUACCUCUUUGACUUUCCAAUCUUUUGAACAAAUAUGCAUCAAUUGAGUUUUUGAUGUCUCUAUUGGAGCCUCUAUUUAUUUCAAUUUACAAGAAGCUGAUGUUUUUCGUUUUCAUUUUAUGUUUUCUAACGUAGUUUUUUGUGAAAUUUGGUUAUUGUUCUUACACACAACUACAGAUUGUGGCAUGAGUUGUUUCUAUGAAAAGCUUUUCAGAAAAUAAUUACAUAUAAAUUACUUAUGUAGGGAAAUGUAUAAUUUUUGUAAUAUUAUUUUUUUCUUUCAAUGGACAUUAUGCAUUUACUAUUUUUUUGUUAUAUCUUUUACAAUAUGUUGCCACUUUUGUAGGAACUACUGGAGCAGUUGAAUAUGUUGCCAAGGUGAAUGGAUAUGUUGAGAACAUUGAAGUCAUUGCUUCCAAGUUAGUUGUGUCCAUGAUAUGGAUAAGCUAGUGUCAUUUCUUGUGAUUUACCAGUCUUAUUCACCUUGAUUUCUUAUAUGAAAACAUAUCAUAUUGAGGUAUUUUACUUAUUUGUAUGGAAUAUGAAAGAGCUGGUACUUUUUUUUUCUUUCAGUAGACUUUCUUGAAUUUUAGUGCCUUAUUGUUUGCCAUUAGUUCAUAGUGCUCUGCAUUUUGAACUUUAUUAUUCUUUUGAGAUUACUACCACUUAUGUUAUCCUAUUUUAUUAUUUAUUUUUAUGCUUUUUAUUUGUUAUACUGUUAUUUGUGCUGAGGCAAGGUUUUUUGGAAAUAACCUCUCUACUUCAUCUGAGAUAGUGGUAUGGAUUGCGUACACUUUACUCUCCAAGAUUUCUAGUUUGUGGGAAUACAUUGAAUAUAUUAUUAUUGUUGUUGUUGUUGUCCUAUGAUACUAAAUGAUGCGUUAUGAGGCUCCAUUGGCAAAAGAUUGAACAAUUAUUAUGAAAAAAGAAAUAACUGUCAACAACUUCACCUAUAUGCGGAAGAUUAUGAUUGAUACAGUUGGACUUUAAGAAUGAUAUAUAGUUAGUAAAAAGAUUUUAGUUCUUCUGGUAUCUGAAAGCUGGUUCAGAUAACUAGUAAGCAGAAGAAUUGUAAAAAGAAAUCCUAGUCUCUCUUGUACAUGUCAUGUUAAAAAAUAUUUACAUUGUGUUUAAGGACAUUAUCCUUCUUCUUUUCUUUUCUUUUCUUUUCCCCAUAUCAUCUGAUUGACAGUAUUAGAGUAGUCAUGCAUAAGAUUUUCCGUCUUACAUUUAGAUGUUUGUGGCAGGGUUCCUAGAGGCGGGAUAUUAAGAAUAUGAUCCUCCCAUUUGACAUUAGUUUUUUUUUUGGAUAUGAAGUUUUAUACAGGAUUCUUCCGAUGCCACAUUUCUGGUUCACGGUUCUCUUAGAGAGAAGUAAUUGAAACUGAUUCAACCUACUCUAUAAAAUUUUAUUCAGGAAAAAAAUUUAAGUGAUUAACUCUAUCUUCGGUGCCAUGCAAGCUGUGGUUGCCUUUUGAAUUAUUCUGAUUGUGGCCAUAUUUCUUAAAGAUCCCGAGAAGCAACAUCUUAAAAUAGGAUGGAGGGGAAUUUUAAUUUCACUAUAUUUUCCAUUGCUUUGAUUGAAUCAUCAAGCAAUUCCAGAAAAAUAUGGACGCUGAACAUAGUUUCAGGAUCAUCUCCACAGUAUAAUUGGGCUAUAUAUAAUGCUAUUUUUUCGUGUUGGUUGUUGUUUUCUUGUCUAUGUAUCUAAUCCUGUUUUGAUCAAUGUUCAAAUAAAAAAGUACAUAGAUGAGAUGGUUUCAUAUUUGGGCUAAAUUCUAUGGCAGAACAAAUUGUGCGCUGCUUACAGAGGUAGCUUUCAUAGAGUUCACAUCUUUUAAAGCUUAAGAUUAUGCUUUAUUUUAUAUUGUGCGUUGCUUCCAGAGAUAUUUCAAUGCUCUUAUAAUUGAAACAUUUAAUUUCUAAAGUAUUUUAUUUAGACUUUUUCAGAAUUAAACUGGGAAAGAGGAUCACAUUUAGUGAGGAUGUAAAUCAUGAUGGUGCUGAUAUUGGUGUCGAUGAUGAUUGUGACGGAGAAUGUGUAUGAUGGAGAUAAGCAUCCUAUUUUUUAUCCUUGUUCAGACACAAAAGUACAAAGAUGAGAUGGUUUAUUUUUCUUCGAUGAAUCUCAACUCUGUUUAUGUGACUAUCUCCUAUGUCUUUCUGAUAAUUUUGUUGAACUGUCUAUUUUUAGACCCAAAAUGGAUAAGAUUUAAUUGAAUGACUGAUUUGUUAUUUUUCUUUGUAUCUUUUUUAAAAUUUAGUAAAUUGAAUGAUUGACGAGUGAAUUUUGUCGGUUCCUACACUUUUGGAAGUGUUCUUUAACUUCAAUGCUCUGUAGUUUCUAAUGCAUCCACGGGAUGUAGUUCUAUAUAAACUAUAAGGCCUAUGCUCAUGAACAAAUGUAGCAUGAUAUUGCUAAAACCACUUUGGAAGAAAAUCAUGGUGCAAAUAAUUGUACUGGCAGAGAUGAGGAAGCUUAUGUUCAUGGGGAUUUUUUGCAAAUUGGAGGCCUAUUGUAUCAAAUAUUCAAGUGAAUCAUUUUAUGCCAAACCCGACAGAGAAAAUUCCUCUACUCAAGAUAUUUAGUGUUGAGAGUUCUCAAGUUGCUGAACAAAUGAAUAGCAGUGGUUCUAGAAAUUGACAAUCCCAUAUCUAUAACGAGAUCCCUGUUUCUCUGAGGUAUUCAUUGCAUCUUUGUACUCUUUUUUUGCUUUUUUGUUCACAGGUGUUUUCUCGAGAUUAUAGAUAUUCUGCGUUCCCUGUUGUGAUGAUUCAUUAUGCUUAUUAUCUGAUUUGAAGGUCAUCAAUAAUCGAGUCCAUUUUGCUGUCAUACCAAGCCUGCAAAUUAUAGAAGCAACAGUUAGUUACGCUAGCUUUAUGUUUACCUACAGUUAAGAGAGCUCCAGGUGUACCUCCCGUUAAUCUUCCACCAUCUGUUCGAGUAAUGUCUCAGUCAGCUUUUAAAAGCUAUCAUAUUGGAACAAAUUUGAAGCCUUUUAGUGAGGAUUCUUUUAUUGGUGAUGGUAUGAGAGACAAUGCAGUCCCCAUCAUUGCAAAUGCUGCAAAUUCAUUUACCAGAUAUAUUCUUUCUUAUUUUUUUCAUAAAAUAUUUGUUAAGACUGUGGUCCUAUGAUACUAAAUGAUGCGUUAUGAGACUCUAUUAAUAAAAGAUUGAAUAGUUAGUAUGAAAAAAGAAGAAAAAAGAAAGAACUGUCAAUAAUUUCAACUAUAUGUCGACGAUUAUGAUUGAUAUAGUUGGACUUUAGGAAUGAUAUAUAGUUAGUAAAAAUAUGACACUAACAAAUAUAUUUUGUUCCACCUUAUUGACAUUAUAAACUAAAUUAUAGAAAUAUUCUGCAGAUAGGUAAAAGAAAUUAAAAAAACACACGAAGAAAAACACCAUCCAUUCACAGUAGUUAAUGUUUGGAAGGCCAACUGGACAUUAAUAAAAUUAAUAACUCAUUAGUAGAUUUCUUGCAAUAUUUGUCUUAUUUAUUGUGUUUAAGAUCCAAUUUUCAGCUUUCAUGUGAGCUUGGUCAGUGUUUAUGAGAUUCAAUUGGAAGUUUCUUUCCAAGUUGAUAACGACGCUCAGAGGCAUAACAAAUUUCUUGGACAAUCAGAAGGUCACAAUUCGAGGUUGGUGACAUUGUUGUCAGGCAUCAUAAAGAUUUUACAAAAGAUUUUUUUUUGUUCAUCUUCAUAGUGUUGCAGAAUCCUAUCAUGAUGAUUCAGUAGAACAAAAUGGUAUAUGUCUUCUACCUGGAAUUUUCUUCUUAUUUUGGGUUCAAUUUACUGAUAAAGUUUUGCAUUGUAAUCUGUACUAAGAUACUAUUUUCUUUUUUCAAUGUAUACAUACUAGAAAUGUUGUUUCCCUUAUAUAAAUACAUUUACUCUUCACUAAAGCUCGCUAUAUGUGAAGUCACUCCUGUCCAAGGAAAAUAAGUAAAAAAGCAUCAACUAAAAUUUUUUCUCUUGCCAAAUAUUAAUAAAAUUAAAUAUGGUGUGGUAUGAGCUGUCAUCUGUAACUUCAACGCUAAUUGAAGCAUAAAAUUGCCAUUUAAAUAUCGUGUGGUAUGAGUUAUCUCUUAUAACUAAAAUGCUAUUAUUUUCGGUAUUUUGUACUUGACAAAUUUCUUGUAUAUAUUUUAUGAUUGCAUAUUGGGAACUUGAAAAUUCUUUUAAUUUGCUAUGACUUGUGUGGAAGUUCUGAAAUAGCUUGUGUGCUUUUCUUUUUUCAACUUUCAAUCCCUUAGUACUAUAAGCUACAAAAUUGAUUAGCUGGUUAAAUUUAUUCCAUCGAAAACUAGUUGGAGUGAGGAGAUAGAAGAUGCCUUCUGUUGCUUAAAAAGAUAUCUCCUUACACACCAUUUAAUAGUAGAAGAAACCUUUCUAUUACACUUUUGGACAACAGGCAAAAGAUCUUCUCUAAGAUUGAUCGUGAUGAUUUGAAUAUGCUUACAUCUUAGAUUGAUUUAGAAUGAAAAAAAUGAAGCACAUGAUACCUCAAGAGGCUGUAGGUGCUGCCGCAUAAGCGGUUAAAGAAGCAAAAUCAGCUAUAGCUGAGGCUGUGGAGGCAAAUAGGGAGGCUGAUAUUGUUGAAGCAAUUCAAGCCUUUUCAGUAGCUGAAAAAAAAAUGACAUGGGAGAAGUUUCCCAAGGAUGGUAAGACAUCCUUUUAUGCUAAUUAUUUGGUUACUAUGUAGCAUUUUACACGUCACUCCUAUCUUUCAUUUUAUUAAUGGUAGGAUAUGUUCUUCUUUAUCCAUGAAACCGCUACUGGUUAAUGUCGAGCCUUCACAUAAACUAUCAUGCCAUUAUUCUGGUUAUGAAAUCUGUUUCAAUAGACUAUGAUGAUUAUUAUUAAAACAGAAUUAAAAAAAGAAGCUAAUUUUACUCAGUAAAGCAACAAAAAAAGGGAGAAUAGAAUAUGAUUGUACACUUUGUAUCAUAGUUUAAGAAGAUCUUUAAUUUCUUGAUUUAUUCAAUAAAUUCAAACUAUAGGUUCAGAGUCUUAUGAUUUUAUCUUUAUAUACGUGAUCAAUAAGUCAAGUAGAUCAUUAUCUCAAUAUGUAACAAUUCACCAACAAGGUUCGCAAAGUGAUUAAGAAGGAAAGAAAAACAAGAGUAGGAAUUUUCAUGUUCAACUGUAUUCACUUUUUUUGUAAAUUUUAGUUUUAAUUUAUUUUAUCAUAGUAUGAACUAUGUUUCAUGUAAUGUAUACAAGAUCUUUCUUUUAUGAACAAGUACAAUAUUAGAUAUUUGUAUAAUUUAAUGAAGAAUAUGUGUGGGUGUUUCAUAUUUCAUUUAUCUACUUUUUGUUAUUCUGUUUUUUUUAAUGAACCCUAACAUCAAACAUAACCUAUUGGCCUAGAGCAUUUACCUUCUUUGGUAAAAUAUUUUCACAUAAAAGAGAAAUUAAAACAAUAUGCUUAGCAUUUUAAUUAUCCUGUAAACAAAUGUUGUACCCAAUAUUUCUAUAUCAUCAUAUUUCUGCAUUGACAAUUUUUUUGCAUAUUUGCUUUUUUUUCGUUAGACUGAUUUUCUGACAAAUCAACACUGAUUUCUGUUAGAGAUGAUUCACAUCUUGAAAUAUUGUUCUUGAUGGGAGUCUGUAAAAGAUUAUAUAGUGUAAAACUGUGUUAGGUAAGAAUAAAAAGAGUAAUAAAACGAGACUAUAUUUAGCAUCUUAAUUUUCAAAUAUUUCUUUAUAAUAAUUAUGUUAAAGCUAAAAUUCAAUUUUUAAUUGUAAGCUCUCUUUUUCUUUGUGUACAAAUUGAUAUGACCAAGAAAACAUAUAAGCAGAAUAUAAAAAUGCAAGUAUGUAAAGAAAAAGAGAUGAAUUUUCAUUACAAAAGAAAUGUUAUCACUUCAACGCAAAAUUAUUAUAUUUUUAAAAACGUUUAGGUUAAAAUAUGUAUAAAUGUAACAUAUAACUACUUCAAAAAGCUCAUCUCUUCCAUAACUUUGUGCACCUUCAAAGAGAGAAUCCUAUUACAUACAAUAAUGUCAUUAAAAAUGAAAUUUAUAAUUUUUAUGUAACUUGUGAAUUUUUUAUUUUAAAAAAAGUGAGUAACACUUACAGAGUAUUUUAAUGAAGGAUGACUGUAUUUCUUGAAAAAAGCUUCAUCAUCAUCAAACUUUACAACUUUGUAGACUUUAUCAUAUUUGUUUAUAUUAGAUUCCUUAACAAUGACCUUAAACGUGAGCUUUUUCUCAAUAAUGUUAUCCAAUUCACAUGGAUGCGAACAUUCAUCAUCGUUAAUUAAGUCAUUCUUCAAAAAAAUUUACAGUUUUUUCCAUAAGUUGCAUAGACUUACGAUUCCAAAUUAAUAGAAUUAUAAGACUAGUUUCAUUCAUUACACCGACUUGUAGUCUAUACCUGAAUUGCAUUAUUUAUCAUAUUAACAGAUUUAUUUUUUAUAGUGAAAUUCAUAUAGGAUUGUAAUAACAACUUUUGCUUCUGCAAUAUAUUUUGGACAAAAAUAUGAGUUAUCAUCUUGUUCAACUAUUGUAAGACACUUAUUGCAAGCCAAGUAUGACCAUCCAUGUUCAAGAUCCAAACAGAUAAAUUUUGCAGCAAUUCAUUAACUAGCUUCCUGUUUAAUAGAAAAAAUAUUGCAAUAAAUAUUAAAAUAGAUUGUGUAAAGUUAAUAGAAAAUGAAAAAUUUUAUUCUCAUUUCUGUGCAUAGAAUCAAAUCAUUGAUAUAUUUAAAAGGUAUAAUUUUUUUGGCUAACUCAUCUGUGGUAGAAUAACUUUGUUGAGAAAUUGUCUGGCUAAGCCACACAUAGUCAAAAUCACAUGUUGCAUUUAAUUUGAAAAAAAAUAUUAUAAUCUUAGAUAUUACUAUAUAUUCUAAAUUCUAAUGUUAAUUUUAGUUAAUAAAUUUGUUAAAGCAAUAGGUGGUGACAAAUCUGAAUAUUUUAGCCUUUAGAAAUUGAAGAACAACAAUCAACAUCUGUAAAUACACUCAAAUAAGGUUGAAUUUGAUACACAAGUUCACCCCAUAAAGUUGUUGAAAGUCUAUUUCUUCUAUAAGAAUAUAGAUUUGAUUUUAUGAUUUACUUUAUUAUUUUCCUUCUAUCAUAUUUGUGUAUUAAAUAUUGCAGCUUUAACAAAAAGUAAUAAGAGUAUAUAUAUACAAUAGUUAAUGCAAUUAGUGACAAAAGAUUAUUUUUUUGGAUCGAAAUUAUAUUUUGAUUUGAAACUUGUAGUGUAAAAAAAAUGUACUUAUCAUCUUCUAGUACAACAUUUAUAAAGAUACUAUUAUUGUCUCCUUGUUUAAAUGUUGAACCAUUUCAUGUGCCAUAACCUGACCAACGACAUCUAUAAAUAUAUAUGAGUUAGUCCAAAUAGAAACCACAUAUUAUUGAUCAAUUGUAAAUUGACUUUAAAAAAAAUCAUUACCAAAUAGUUCUGUGUCAUCGACAAUCUAUUGAAUUGUCAGUUAAUCAAAUGAACGCAAAUUAAAUAUGUCUACGAUAUAAAGGAUUAGUAAUUUUUUCAGUGAAAGUUGUUUUAUGAAAAUCAACCUCUGUUUGUGUGCAACAACAAAAUAGUUCAUGCGAUAUAACUCAAGUUCCUCUAUUUUAGUCUUGAAAAACUUAAUAUCAUACUUGUCAAUUGAGGCAUAUAUAUGAUCACCCUAAUUUGAGACGAAAAAUUAGAAUUGUUGAAUGAAUUAACAAUAUUAAAAAUUAAAAAGAAAGAUUAAUAAUGUAAAUAAAGUGAAAGAUUUAAAAUUACUAGAAAGCAAUAAGUACAUUUGCUUCCUGUAAAAUCAUAUCCAACGAAUAGGGUAUUUCAGUUUUGAAUUUAUUCGACACUUGCCACAAUCGAACAACUCUUACUCUCAAAUUCCAUUGCAUGAAAUUAUUAGUAAUUUGUGAGAUGCUAUAAAAUUGUAAAGCCAAGUAUGUUUAUGACAAUAUUAAGUAGAUUGAUUUGUUUUUUCAAGUAUAGAAACAAAAAAAUCGAAAUACAAAUUUGUGAAAUUGCAGAACAUUUAGAAUAUAUUAAGGAUUAAAUAAGGAUUAAAGAGUCGAAAGAUAAUUUAUCAGAAGUAGGACUGAAGUGGAUAGUUUUAAUAUCAACUCCUCAAAACUAUCCAUAUGAAAAGUUCCUCUUUCAAGUCAAACUAGUUUAUCAGUAUUUUUAAUUUUUAAUAUUUAAUAAUUUUAAUCAAUCAAGUAUUAGAUGUGUAUCGUGUUUUUUUAUCUGGCGAUUAUUAUUGUUUAAAUUGUUAUUGUAAUUAUUAAUUUUUAAUGAUAAAUGCUAUUUACAAUAUUUCGUUAUUUAACUUGUAUGUAGUGUUUAUAUGGUGUGUUUGUGUGUGGAAGUCAUGAUUUUUAAAAUUAUUAGUACUAGUUUAAGUUUAAGUUUUUAUUCUUUUUUUUUCCAGAAAAUUCAUGUUAUUUAUUAAGAAAAAAUAAAUGUGGAAGUUUAUUAGCAAAACUUGUUAGUGAAUACGGUAAUUUUUUUAAUUUUUUUAAAAUAGAAAUUUCUUUUGUGAUGGGAAGUUAUGUGUUUUUUAAAAUUGAAUUUUUAAAUAUUUUUUUAAAAUUAUUGCUUUUAUGUGGUGCUGACACAUGACAGUUUUGCCUCGUAGAUAGAUUAUUGUUACUAGUGUUCUGACCAUGUUAUUUGAAGCUCAAAAUAUAACUUGUAUACAAUUCUAACGUCAAAGAACUAAUUGGAACUGAAAAUCCAUUGAAGCCCGCUGAAGCUUGGGAUCAGCAACAUUUUUUAAUUCUCACAGUAUUGGAAUUAUAUUGUUUUAACAGUGAUAUGGUAUUAGGCUGCACACGAUUUGGAGGAGUUAUAAGAAAAUCUGGAAAGAUAAUUCGAAGGUAGAAGAUAAGUUUUAUGUGAUUAAAAAAUGCUAGGCAGAAAGGUCGACUGUAGUGUUAGAAAAGAUAGUGUUAAGACUAUCUUUGAAUGUGACAUAUUACUGAAUCAUGUGUGAAAAUUUCCCAAAUUUCGCAUGGAUAUAGUGAUCACACACUUAAUCAUCAUGCCAAAAUCUAUAACUGAUAGCUAGGAUGUAACUUCAUUUCUUAACCAAGGCCAAAUCUAACUCCAUGUUUAAUCAUGAUUCCGGGCCAACCACCUCGACUCCUUAUGGGCUUUGUCAUAGGCAGAAUGUUGGUGUUACCCGACAAUUAGAAAUUUCCUCAACACAAAGAUGCAACUUGAGAGAAUGGAUGAACAAAUUAAUGAGUAAAAUAUCUGCCCCAAGGUUAAGGCUGUCAAACGGGCUGGUUUGACCUGGCCCGACCCAACUCACUAGGAAACCCGACCCGAUUUGAUGCGGCCCGCUCAGCCCCCAGGCUGCAGGGCUGCUGGUCCCAAGUUGGACUAUUUUUUUGGGCUUGGGUUGACUCGGCCAGGACCCAACCCGGUCCAGGCCCACCAGUUGCCCGACCCGAUUUUUUUUUUUAAAGUUGUUUUGACCAUUUGGGCAAAAUAGUCGUUGGACCCAACAGCUAUAUGGCCGUUUGGAGCCUCAAAUGGCUAUUUGGCCUUUUUAUUUUAUUUUUUUAAUUUAAAAUAUUUUUUAAAAAUAAAAAAAAUUCUAUAAAUACCCUACACUUUCAAAUCAUUUUCCACACAAUUUUUAUUCUCUCAAAUCUCAUUCUCUCUCAAAUUUCUAUAUAUCUCCUAAAGUGCUCAAUUUAUUUUUUAAUUUUACGAUUAUAAAUACGAGUGAAAGUUUUCUAAAGUCGCAACUUUCGGAUACUUCCAAAAUUUGGUAUUGUCGUUCCAUCUGUUACUUUUAAUUUUUGAUUAGUGUAUUAAUUGUUGAAUAUUUAAUUUUAUUAUUUUUGUGUAUUUUAAAUUUUUUAGUUUGAUUUAUAUUAUGGAUAAAUUAAGAAACCUCGGUAAAAGUGUCAAAAAAAUUUAUCUCGAAAGUGGUAGUAAAAAGCGAAUUACUGACGGUAGAGGUAGUUCAAGUAGUAGAUAUACCCAUGUGCCUCAGGUACCUCUUAGUCAACCUUUUGAGGAAGAAGUAGGUGUAGGUGCUCACGAUAUGGAUUAUUUAGAAGCUCAGAAAAAUUACGGUAUAGAAGAAGAAAAUAAAGUAGAUGAGGUUAAUUUAGAUGAAGAUGAUGAAAAUAUUGAUGAGACAUCCGCAGUAGAAAAUGCUAAUGUUAAAUCUGAAUCGGUUAAUCGUCCUCCUCGUUCCCCAAGAGCUUGUAAAACAACUAGUAUUGCAUGAGAAUUUUUUAUACAUAUAGAAAGAGAAACUAAGGUGCAAUGCAAUAUUUGUCAACAAGUAUAUGGGCAUAAAAGAGGAGGCAAUCAAAGUGGUAUGGGUACAUUAAUGAGACAUAUAAGAGAGAAUCACCAAAGAGAGUUAUUUAUUGCAAAAGAUGGUGAGGCUGUUGGUGGGCCAAUGUUAGAGCAUGUGGAGUUUUGAUGAUAGACAUGAGAAUGAAACAUAUGGUAAAAGCUGUUCCGUCCAACUAAACCAAGAUCACCUGCAGAUAAGUUAUUGCUAUGAUGACCUGGCUUACAAGUAGAAGUGGAUAAUAUUUAUCACAUUAGAAGUUGAGUUGAAAAAGAAGACUUGCAUAAGUUGAGUGAAAAAUAAGAAGUGCAGAAGUUGAGUUGAACAAGG